UUGGAGGAAAGGUAGUGGAGAAAGCCUUGCUAGACUUGGGAGCAAGUGUGAAUUUGCUUCCAUAUUCUGUCUACAAGCAACUGGGACUUGGAGAGUUGAAGCCAACAGCAAUCACUUUGUCUCUGGCAGAUAGAUCAGUGAAAAUUCCAAGAGGGGUAAUUGAGGAUGUAUUGGUUCAAGUAGAUAAUUUCUACUAUCCUGUAGAUUUUGUUGUUCUUGAUACAGAUCCUACUGUAAAGGAAGCUAAUUUAGUUCCUAUCAUCCUUGGAAGGCCAUUUCUUGCAACUUCAAAUGCAAUCAUCAACUGUAGAAAUGGGCUUAUGCAACUCACUUUUGGUAACAUGACACUGGAUCUAAAUAUUUUCUAUAUGUCUAAAAAGCAAAUCACUCCAGAAGAAGAAGAGGGUCCAGAAGAGCUAUGUAUUAUUGAUACUUUGGUGGAGGAGCACUGCAAUCAACAUAUGCAAGAUAAGUUGAAUGAAAGUUUUGUGGAUAUUGAGGAAGGUUUUUCUGAAUCUCCUAAUGGGCUUGCUACUCUACAAAGUUGGAGAAAGAUAGAAGGAAUUCUACCUUUGUUCAAUGAAGAAGAGGAGGCAGCUGUUGAAAAAGAAAUUCCAAAACUCAAUCUGAAGCCUUUACCUAUGGAGCUGAAAUAUACAUAUCUUGAAGAAAAUAAUCAAUGUCCUGUCGUAAUAUCUUCAUCUCAAACCAAGUCUCAAGUGAAGGAUGCAAGCUUCAAAUGGGAUCCGGGCAAACUGAAUCAGGAAGGGCAAAAAGUUUUGAUGUAUGACACAAGACUCCAUAUCUUUCCUGGGAAGCUCAAGUCAAGGUGGAUUGGUCCAUUUGUUAUUCACCGAGUAUAUUCCAAUGGAGUGGUGGACUUAUUGAAUUCCAAUGGCAAGGACAGCUUUAGAGUCAAUGGAUAUCGUCUUAAGCCGUUCAUGGAGUCAUUCAAAUCAGAAAAGGAGGCAAUCAACCUCCUUGAACCUCAAAAAGCCUAAGUGAAAUGGGUUUGCUGGACGUGGUUUUACCACAGUCCAAAAAUUUUUGUAAAUUUUGUAAAUUUUCAAGUUGUUUCCAUGCUUUUAAUCUUAGUUUUUGAUUUUAAAUCAUGUUUUUAGGUGUGUUUUAAUCGUUUUAUAUGAUCCCAGGCGGAAGAAAUUUCAAGGGGAUUGAAAAGAAAAAAAUCGGGUCGAAAUUGGAGCCGAAACAGAGCAAAAACAGGGGAAAAACAGAGCUCUGCGAAAUUUCGCAGGGUGAAGGAAACUUCUGCGAAAUUGGCAUUUUGCUGCCAAACCAUUCCGCAGCACUGUAGAAGCCUCUGCGAGUGUAUUUCGCAAUUGCGAAAGUGGAUUUGGCACACGAGUGCCACUUCGCAGCACAGUGACAUCAAUUUCGCAGCUGCGAAACUCACUGCGAAGUUGCUGCGAAAAUGGCAAGUUGCUGCGAAAUUGGCGUUUUGUUGCGAAACGUAAUCUGACCCCUGGGCUUCCGUUUUUCCUAUUUAUACCUGUCAAAAGUGCUGCGAAAAAGGUUUCAAAAAUUAGAGCACCAUUCUCGCAGCCCUUUCAUCUUCUUCGCCAAGCCACGCCGUCCGUUUCUCCGGUCGUCUUCUCCGUUUAGCAGCGCCGGCCAAAGAUCGAUAGCCCAAAAAUGGCACGAACGCGAGGGGCAAAGUCUUCAUCCCCUUCGAACCGCAAAAGGAGUCUGCGAAAGGAGCCAAGUUCAGGCUCUGUUCCAGAACCUGCUCCAAAGCCUUCGCCGUCGAGACCACAACCUUCUCCAGUGAAGCCGGCGCCACCAAAGCCGCCGGCAAGGCGAUAUUUAACCAGGUCAGGUGGUCAGCCAUUGAAGAAGAAAGCCAGAGUUGAGAGCUCUGAACCAAUCGAUUUGACUGAGCAAUCCCCUGAGAAAUCACCAAAUCCUUCACCGGUACAAAUUCCAGUGCCAUCACCGGUUCCCUCGCCAAUUCCCUCACCAGAAGCAACUCCAAUUCCAUCGCCGGUACCAUCUCCGGCACCCCAAGAAAAAGCUCAGGAGCCUCAAGCGCCAAUUCCAGAGCCCCAAAUUGCAGCUGAAGCACCUCUGGAAGAAGUGAUCCGAAGGCCAAUGCUGCCUCAGCCCCCAAUCGAAGGAAACCUGGAUUGCCGAACUCGGGCAUUCCAUUCUGAGCUUUGCUUCGAUUUAACAGCAUUCAGAGUGAGGCCAGAGCUUGCCCAAUCCUUCCAACUGCUGAGGAGAUAUCAUAUGGAGCAUCUGCUAGCUCCAAGGGAUUUUUUCUAUCCCCGGGUAGUCACGGAUUUCUACCAAACCAUGACAACCAAAGAAGUAAGAAAUCCAACUCUGAUUCAUUUCAUAAUUGAUGGAAGGCAUGGUAUUUUGGGAGCAAGACAUAUUGCUGAAGCCCUGCAAAUUCCUUUUGAGCCAACUCAAUUCGACAAUUUUAAAGCUUGGACAAAUCCUACUGAGUUAGAGAUGGUUAGCACACUAACCAGAGGAGCUGCAAAUCGAUCGCAUUUGUUGAGGGGGGAGCUACCUCCAGUUAUGUUUUUGAUUGAUGCCUUUUUGAGGCAUAAUAUCUAUCCCCUGCAGCAUUGGACCCAAAGAAGGGGAAUUCUCCUAGAAGCCUUGUACAAAAUGUCUGAAGGAUUCUUCUUUGGGCCUCAUCAUCUGAUCAUGGCAGCCCUUCUAUACUUUGAGGAGAAGGUUCACAAGAAGAAGCUUCAAAGAGCAGAUUGCAUUCCACUCCUCUUCCCAAGGCUGCUAUGCCAAGUUUUGGAGCAUCUCGGAUACCCCUCUGAGCCUCAGCAGGAAAGAAAGAGAAUAUGCCGUGAGCCUUUUACCCUUGAUAAAUGGAAUAAUAUGACGGCCUACAAAAUUGAUCAGCCUGGGCAGCCUCAGCCAGCAGCAAGGAGAGUCUCCCCAAGACAUAUACCUGAAGGUAUAACACUUGCUACUCCUGCCAUCCCUCGAGCUCCACCAGCUGCACCUGCUCCAUCACAGCCAUCCACAUCAGCUGAGCCGAGGAUGGCCAUCCCUAUAUCCGAAUAUCGAGAGCUGUGCCGUGCAUUGGAGACUCUUACAGCUUCUCAGAGCAAUCUUGCUCAGGAGUUGGCAGCCAUUAAAGCAUGCCAGGAGCAGAUGUUAGCCUCUCAGACUCAACAAGCUGCCAUCCUAAGGCAGCUUCAAGUCCAUUUCGAUCUGCCACAAGCUGUAGAGCCCUCUAUUCCUACUCCACCAGAGCCACACUCUCAGCCUUCAGAGUCUCAUCCUCCAGAACCCGAAGCACCAGCUGAUCCACCUACUGAGGAGGCAGAUCCUUCUGCCUAGCACCAUCACCCCCCUCAUCAGACAUUAUAUAUAUAUUUGCUGUUUAUGUUUUUAUGCAUGUUUGUUUUGUUUUAGUUGAAAAGAAAUCCCAGUAUUUUGGUACUAUAUAUGGGAUUCCUUGUGUUACUUGUCUUUAGUAUUGUAAUCACAUGAACUCAAAGUAAUACAAGUUGACUAUUUCUUGUUAAAAGUUAGCAUUAAAGUUUCCUUAUUUCCUUUUCUCACAUAUUCUAUUCUUUUUGAAACAUGUGGUUUUCCCCAAUCAAUAUUCGAAUUUGAUAUCAGCAUGGAGGUACCACUUCCUCCCUUUUAUUACAGUCACUCAAAUCACAUUGAGGACAAUGCUCAGUUCGGUUGGGGGGUAUGAGGAAGGAAGUAUUCUAAACCUUUUUGGUAUUGCAAUUAUAUUGGUUAAUUAGUUGUAGAUUUUACUUUUUACUAGUGUUACUCUAUUCUCCAUGAAUUUUGAGGAAAAAUUUUCAAAUUAAACCAAGAGAAAUUGAACUGUUGUUUUUCACUUGACUUAGAGUAUGGAUUAUGCUUACUAAAGUGGUUCAAUUGUUGAAACUUCUACUGAAAUUGAAUUGAGUUCUUCCACUUUAAGCUAUCCACACACUGUGCACAUUAGUUUCCGAUUAUAAGAUGAAAAGCUAUUUCCCUCUUGACUUAGUAUAUUUUUGGGACUUGGUAUAUUUGACCUCAUUUGAUAAAAAUUGAAACACCCUGCAAAAGGCCAAUGAGCCUUUGAAAUAAAGAAAGUUGUUUGCUUGCCUUGAAACCCGAGCAAGGUCUGAGGGGUAUAUGGUGAAAAUCUUUAAAGCCUGGUGCCCUAAGCCUUAAUUGGUUGGGAGUCACCGACCUCAAUGCUCGUUACAAGGGUGAAUAGGUAGAGUUAGCAUAUGGUAGAUGCUUGGGUAUUAGAAAUUCAUUCUUAAAAGUCCGGGGAAAAAUCCGAGGAGUUAGUGGUUGAAAGAUCCUUAAAACUUGGUGCCCUAAACCUUAAUUGGUUGGGAGUCAUCGAUGGACCCCCAUUACAUGGACAAGUCAGAAAGAGUACCCCAUAAAGCUACCUUAAAAAAAAAAAAAAAAAAAAAAAAAAAAAAAAAGAUGAAAGUGUGUUCUUUUCUUAUUGAUUUUGGUCAGUUUGCUAAAGUGUUGAAAAGAGAUAGGUUGGGGGGUGAGAUUAGUAGCAUAUUAUUCUCGGAACCUAAGGAACCAAUACACAUAGAUUUUUGUGGAAGAUUGAAGUUUAGUUCUUAGAAAAUGAAAUGAUUUUAAAACUUCAGUUUGCAUAAUGCACUCCCUUGAUUGACAGUGUUUAGCAUAGGUGUUAUGACUCUUGUUGAGAUUUGGGUUUGUAUUUCUUUAAUGAUUCAUGUGAGAAAUAGAUCAUCAUGCCACUUGAGAAUUAUUUUCCUUUUAGCAUGAUGUUGUAAAUUUUAGAUUAGUUUGCUAUUUAUUUUUUAUUUUCUCUCCUAUAUUGCUAAGGGACUAGCAAUAUGUCGGUUGGGGGGAGUGAUUACUACUCAAAAAGUGCUAUUUGAUAGCCUUUAAUUAAUCCUUUUUAACACUUUUGAGUAGUAGUUUAGGCCUUUUAACUCAAUUGGCAUGUUAAGGAUCCUUUAAAGCAAUUUUGAUCACUUUGUGCAAGUUUUGGUGUUUUUGUUAGUAUUUUGAUCACCAAAGCAAGUCAAGAAUGAGGAGAACUAUGAGGAAUCAUGGGCAAAGCUUAGAAUUCAAUUGCCAAGAGUGAAUCCGGAUUGCAAGGAGAAAAAGCAAAGAGAAUCUGUCAUGAAGCCUAUUCUUGAUGACAGUCGUAGCAGCCACUUUUGGAGCACUUUCUGAAGUCCAAAUGAUGCAAGCUAUAUACCAUUUCAAAGCUCAGGAAGUCAACAAUCCAAUGCUUCAAACGGUGCGCGAUUCGGAGUUGAAACGAAGAAGUUGCAGCCAUUACAAGCCAGUCACUCUAAAGUGUUGCGGAAUCAGCCUUUUGUUGCGAGAAUUUCGCAGCACUUUUGUACAGUAAGGUGUUUCUCCUUCUGACGAUGCACGAACCAUGCCGCGAGAGGGAAGCUAGGAACUUCAAGAUGGAAGCCAACUUUGCAGCCUGGUGAAGAUAGCUUGGUCUUGCGAAAUAAUUUCGCAGCCCUCUUGGGUGUCUGCGAAAUUUCGCAGGCACCACUUUUUUCCUGCGAAAUGGCUCCGGAAGCCUCCCGAAGCUUGCUACCGACAUUGGGAGAUAUUUUCCAUUAGAUUUUUGUUGUCUAAAUUCCAAAAUACUCCUUGUAAACCACCAAUUACAUGAUUCCUUAGUUUUUAAGUUAGUAAAAAGACCAAAUAUCUAUGUAAUAAUUAGUUUUAUAUUAGUUUGCUAUAAAUACCUCUCGGGAGCAUGUUCUCAGAGAGGAGUUCCUUCUGUAACCAUUUUGGUAAGCAAGUAAAGUCUUUUCUUUCUACUGCCUUACCUUCUCACUUUGUAUUUUCAUUUUAUUUCUAAGUUAUGAAUUCUCUGAGGAGCUUUCCCCAGAGAAUGAGUAACUAAACCUCCAAUUCCUUGGAGCUAAGGUUGCCGGGGAAGGUUCCAAGUGCAAGAAUGCAAAGCUCUGUGGUUUUAGCUAGUAAUGAAGAGGAAGUGAAAUCCUUUAGUGAUUUCAAUGUUUUUAGUUAACUUAAAACACCUUGGAGUCACCUGGGCCAACACUUGGUAAGGCAAGUGAUUUCCAACCGUGGAAAUGCACUAGUUUACCCCUUGCGAGCCUCUGGUAGGUGACUUCAAGGUAGGAUUUUCUGGAAUUACCAACACUUGGUAAGCUUUUGGACUCCUAGGAGACAUCCAUUAGUUAUCUCUUGCGAGUUUGUGAAGGGGAAUCCAAGGUUAAAGAUCACCUUGAAUGGUAAGUGCUCGUGAGAGGCAUGAACCAUUGCAAGUUGUAUCAGUGAGAGAAUUAAAGUGAAAUCUAAUUGAAGGAGUCUCUGUACAUCACCGGUUAGAGAAUUGACUAUAAGUUGAAUCUCUAAUGCGAGGAAAUGAACCAUCUGACCGGAGCUAUGUCUUUUGCAUGAGGAACCACCCCAGUGAACCUAAAUCUCCAAGGAAUGCUUUUCUUCCUAAAUUAUUCCAAACUUCUGUUAAGUUAGUUAGUUUAAGUCUAAACCUUUACCAAUCAAACUUUGUGUUUUAUUCCUUAAGCUAACCGUGAAAUGAAACAAAACCAAUUCACUUGGAAUUGGUAUCCUUGAUUGCUUGCAAAUCAUUCCCAGUGAACGAUCCUUAGAGCCACUAUACUAUAGUAGCUUUGUAUUUGCUACCCUAGUGUAUGGUGUUAUAGGUAUAAAUUUUGUUGAUCACUUCCUCAAUCAAGGAACACCAGCUGAACACAAAUCAGCUGAGACACCAAUUGGGCAUGAGUCAGUGCGUUAGAGGAUCAAGAAGAAGAAAAAGAAGGAACUGUUGGAAUUAGUAUGAGUGUGAAGAGAAAAGUAUAUAAAUAAGGGGAAGUAAAAGCAAAGUUCAAAAAGCUAUAUUUUUUUAUUGUUGGUGUAUGGUUGCAUGAUUAUCCCUAUAAAUAAUAGGAGUUUUUUGGUAUUCUACUAGUAGUUGAAGCAUAAUUUCAUAAAUUAAUAUUUAGAGCGGGGUGGGGUGAGUUGUGACAAAAUUCAUACCCGUCCCAAACCUUGGUUCAGAUUUUUAAAAUAUUCUCAAACUUAUCAUAUACCCAACUUUUAUAUUUCAUACUUGUCCUAAUAGAGGCACGUUAGGCCGGGUUACUUGAGUAACCUACAUAAUUGUCAUCCCUAGUUGAAAUACACUUUUUGGCAGUGGCCACCAACUGAGCUAGAAGCUUGAUUGAUUGACCUACAAGAUUAGUUCUCAUCAUUUUAAAAAAAGUUCUGGCUUUGGUUGUGAGUGCAAUUGAAUCUAAACUGGCAUUUGCUUAAUGCAUCUACUUCAAUCCUAAACUUCUUACUUCUUAAGCCUCAAUUGUUGUUAGGAUUUUGGAAAACCCAUUUCCUUAAAUUGUAAAUUUAAGAUAAAAUAAAAUAAAAGUGAGACAUUUCUUGAUUGAAUAUUGUUAAAGGUCCCUUGGCAUUAAGACUUGGUUGAAGCCUUGGAAGAUUAGUGGAACUCUCAACAUGUGUUUGAAUCUUGAGGAGAGUGGAUGUAAGCCAAAAUUUUGUCAAACCAUUAUACAAAUUGAGUUUGAAUCCUCAUUUCUUGAUUUCUUAUUUAUUUGCUUUUUCUUAUUAUUACUUGAAUUGUCAUUUGCAUUCAUUAAUGUUAAAAUUGGUUAUAAUUAACCAACACUAAUUCUCUUUCCCCUUCCCUUUCUUGGGUGUAAACCUAGGUUGGAUUAACUAGAUAAAUCUAUUAAGAUGGUAAAAGAAUAAUUAUUCUUAACAUACAUAAGAUCAUCUUCAAUCAAAUGACUCAUUGGCUAAUAUGUUGAAUUUGCUUAUUACUUGCAACUCAAAAUUGUGUUCUAGUUGUGUCAAGUCCCCAGUGUAUGGACAUUAAAUUUGUAGUACGUGAUGAGUAAUUAGAUGGUCCAACUCCAAGAAAGUGAUUGAAAAGUAGUUCAAGAAAGGUGCAAAAGGGAAUUGUUUUGGUAUUUUCGUUUUUAUUCUUGAAGGUGGCAGAGCUAAAAUUUGAGAAAUCAAGCAAAACAUACUGAAAUUACAUUGAAAGAAAGAAGAUGGGAGUUAAUGUCUUGCAGUACAUGAUAAGGACUUCAUGCAUGUAGUGUGACCCAUGUCUUGGACUGAUGCCAACUCACGGUUACACUUAUACCCUUGGUUCUCUCUUUACUACCUUGGCUAACCUAGAUCAGGCUAUGAGAUAGGCUCCUCACCACACCAUUACUUGCCCAUUAAUUAGAGACAUUUUCAAGCAAUGAGGUAACAUGGUGACACCAAGAGGGUCUAUUCCUCGCCCGGAACAAGUCUAGACUUGGUCUCAAAAAAAUGGAGAAAAAUGAGGUGUCGUUAUGUAGAAAUACAACAACCAUGCCUUCCUCAUUACUUAGAUUCAGAAUGUGAAGGUGAAAUUGAGAAACAGAAACUCUUGAAACCAAAAUGAAAAUUGAUACUUUUACGAAGAAUUACAACAACAUUAGAGGAAGACUACAUUCUUCCUCUUUAUUCCUACAUUUCUACACUACUUCUACUCCACUCCAUAUUUCUACAUACAUCUUUAAUCAGUCUUCCCUCCUUUAUAUAGAGCCAUCUUCACACAAAUUUCGCAAGGUAGAAAAGAGGAAUGAAACUUGGAGCAAGGUUCGACUACUGGUUGUAGCUUGUCAAGGCUGGAAGUGAACUUUUCUUGGCUUUCUGGGCAUGGGUAGUAACUUGUGGGUUCCUGUUUGGCAUAAAAAUGGCUAGAACAUGUGGCACUAUCUUGUUGGAUGAUGUGUCAAGCAUGUGGCAGCCAUCUAGUGGCGAUUAUGUCAAUUUUGGGAUGGAGAGUUGGCAUCCAAUUGCAAAGAAAUAUGACGUCUACCAACAUGCAAUGUAAACCUAUGUAGAUCAUAUGAAGAUAGAGAGGAAAAAUAUAGAAAUGGAUAUAUACCUAGAACUAGCUUUUUAUUAAAUGAAACGGAGAGACAACAAUGAAGGAAAAUAAAAUUUUUUGGCUUAUAUCAAAGAGUUCACAUUGUGUUACCCUAGGUUUUCUUAAAACUUACUUUUAUGAUAACAAAAAAGAAAAAACCAUUAUUGUUUAAUCCUUUGUUUUAAACGCAUGUAAGGUGUAAUUAAGUUAGUUCAAUGCAUUAAUUUAAGAAACUUGACCUAUCAAAAGUACAAAAUUAGAUGAAAUCCAUUUCAAUGGUUAAAAUGAUCAAAAUCAAACUUUUUCUAAGUAUUUUUUAAAAGCAUCAAUAGUGAAAGACAAUUUUAUAUUUAGUCGGAGUUUGGACAAAACUGAAAAACACACAAAAUCCAAGCGACCAUCUCUAGCUUGGAUGGUCGCUUGAUCCCACCUAGAGAUGUGCAUGAGUAAAAGGAUUUGAAAAUGGAAAUUGACUAUGUAGUCGAUCAAUUAACUUUGCAACAUCAUAUGCAAUCCUAAUUGCUAGUCAUCUAAUCAAUUAGGUAGUCAAUCAACAGGCCAAAAAUAUGUUUAUAAUGACUAUUUUGUACAAAAACCACCUGUAUAGUUAAAUAUAAUGCAUUUCAUUUAUAAAUCUUCUAAUUCUUGAAUAACGAUCCUAUCAUCCUUUGAAAGUUUUUAUUACACUUUUUUUACUUUUGUUCUAAAACUUACACAUCACCCUUAAUUGUACCAUGAGAACCUAGCUAUUUUUUAUUUUUUUUUUUGUAAUUCAUCAAAGUUAGCUUUUGUAUUCAUUGUUGUAUUAUUUUUAGUAUAACUUAGAAAGCUAGUGUUUUCAAGUGAGUAAAAUUAACUUGUAAAUAUUGUAAAGAUUCAUCGACAUGUAUCUUAAACUAAGUGUACAAGUUAAAACAUUUGCUAGUAGAUUUUCUCAAAAUUUAGAAUAGAGCUUGAGACUAUUGAAAUAGGUGGGGUUGCACCAAACCACAUCACAUCGUUGUUUGCACCUUUUUUCACUCUCUUUUACUUAGUUGCUCUAUAUUUGUUGUCUAGUAAUAUCCUAUAGGCUUGAUGGGUUAGGGAGCAUCCCUUUGUGAAAAAAUUUUAUUCAAUCCUUAGUUGUAUCACGCAUAUAUAAAAUGCCUCAUUGUUUUAAUGGUAUUCAGUCGUGGCAUCACAGAUAUGGGCAUCUAAAUUUUAAAAGUUUGAAACUUUUAUCUAAAGAAAAUAUGGUGCUUUGCCUUUUUGUAAAGCAUGUUGAUGAAAUCCAUGAGAAUUGUGUACUUGGGAAGCAACACCGAGAUGACUUUUUUUUUUUUUUUAUAAUAUUGUUUGUCCAAAUUCCCUACAAAUUAGGCCACCAGAUGUUCAUAAUUCUCCCUUCUUGAAUUUGAAAACUCGGACAAUUGGACAAUGCGACACCUAAGUCCGGUUUCUAAAUGCUAAAGUGAAAGGGUAGGUAUGGACCAUUGAAAUGUGAUCACAACUUUUCUCUGUAGCCAUGUUGUCUCUUUUUUCUUUUGCAUGAUUUUCUUACCUUAACAGAAUCAUAGACUUGUUUAGUCUCUAAAUGGGAUUAAUUUCAUCCAGCUUUAAGCUACUAUAUUAUAUCUAGGUGGAGGACUUUUAAGAGUGCAACCGACAUAGAGCACAUGGAAGUGGGUAUAUGGGACAUGAAAUUUCUUCUUAUAAAGAUUGCAUGAUUUUUAUAUUAGAGUUGUUGAGGCGCUAUGUAUUUAGCUUGUUUUGCAGUUAAAUUAAUUGGAUAAGUAGACAUUGGCGUUUCUAAAUCUACUGUGAAGUGCUUCAUGUACGUGUGAAGUAUUAGAAAUUUCUUUCUUGGCAACUUGUUUUUCUUUGCGGUCUACUGAUAGGUUUGACUAAAAUUAUAUUCCCUGUCAUGCUAAUUAAUUUUCACGUGCAUGCUCAAAAGAAAAGUAUGACCUUAGUGCACCAAAAUCACUUUGAUUAAUUUGUGAUAGGUUUUUGUGCAUCAUGACAUUAGCCUUAUUCAUUUAGAUAAUGUUUAGUUUUUAGAAAGUAUUAAGAAAAGGAAAAUAAAUAUUAAGAAAAAUAUUCUUAUAUUUGAUUGUAUUAUGAAAAAUAUCAUAAAAAAAUCAAAUAUAAUUUAAAUUAAUUAAUAAUUUAUACAUUUUCAAAUUAUUUAAUCUUUAUAUUGAAGAUAUAAUAUAAAUGAAAUGAGUUUUAAGUAUUAUAUAAAAGUGAUUUAUUGAUCUUACAUAUAUAUAUUUCUUUUUUUUUUCCUUCUAUUUUUUCUCUUUAUUUUAUUUUCCUUAUGUUUUCCUCAACAUUUUCCGGAACCAAACAUAGCCUUAGGAAAUCCACAAUUACCUUCAACUGAGUAGAUUCUGUUGUUUUAGCAAUGUUAGGCUGCUAACUUGUGUUGGUACGAACCUAUUAAGCCUAAAGAUGUAAUUAGUUAGGAUAUUCUUUUCCCUCUAGUCUUGUAGCUCCACGUGUACAGUUGGUUAGGACCUCAUUGUAUAUAAUGCUUGCCCUGUUAUUGUAGAAGACAACAAAGAUAAAUAAUAUUAACAUUUUUCCUCUCAUCUCUCUCUGUUUCCCUCUGUUUUCAUCUCCUCUCUCAUCUUGGUAUCAGAGCCUCCAUGGCUUCUUUCAAAGAAACCUCCGAAUCACCUUCUGCUAGCAUUGUUAAUGUGCAAAACCCAUUAUCUCAAUCAAACAACCUUCCUUCACCAGUAGCCACACCCUCUUUUUCUUUCUCGUCUAUGAAUCAACCUCUCACAGUGAAGCUGGAUAAUGGGAACUACCUCAUAUGGAAGAAUUAGCUUCUAAAUGUCAUCAUUGCUAACGGACUCGAUGAUUUCAUUGACGGAUCUCGACCCUGCCCUCCUCGAUUUCUCGAUCUGCAACAACAAACCCUCAAUCCAGAGUACUCAGCUUGGCAGAGAUACAAUCGACUUCUGAUGAGUUGGCUGUACGCAUCCUUGUCCAAAGAUAUAAUGGCUCAGAUUGUUGGGUAUUCAACAGCUAUGGAGAUUUGGAAUGCCCUUAAUCAGAUUUACUCUGCCUCUUCUAUGGCGCGGUUUACUGAGCUUCGCACCAAGCUUCAAACGCUCAAGAAAGAUGGACUCUCAGUUGGUGAAUAUAUUCAAAGGCUCAAAUCCAUUUGCAAUAGUCUUGCAGCAAUAGGAGAACCAGUUUCUGAGAAAGACCAUCUUAUCUAUUUGUUCAAUGGAUUAGAUUGUGAGUAUUAUUCUUUUGUUACCUCCAUUCAAAAUCGAUCUGACCAACCAACUAUUGACAAAAUCCAUAGCCUAUUGCUUAGCUAUGACUUCCGGCUUGAACAACAAAACUCUGUUUCUCUCCAUUCUGCCCAAGUCCAUAUGGCUCAUCUGAACAAGAAACCUUAUAAAUCAACUCCUCAACCUACAUUCAAUCAUAUUCACAUUCAACCUAGAUACUCUUCUCCACCUUUUAAGCCAACCACUAGUCAAUAUCAACCCAACAUUUUGGGCAAACCACAACCACAACCAUGACAGCCUCAACCUCAAUGGAAACCACAUUUUUCAAUCUAAAAUCAAAAGCCUCAGCGCCAAAUUUGUGGUAAAUUUGGACACACUGCUCUUAUUUGCUUCCAUCACACAAAUUUGAACUAUUCACCCCAACCUUCUCCUAAAUCUUUCAAUACUGUUCUCACCACAAAUUCCCAGCUCCCUAAUCCUCCAAAAUUUUCUUACCCUACAAUGGCUCAUCCUGCUGCUACGCAUAACACGGUUCCCGAUACAAAUUGGUACAUGGACUCAGGUGCUACACAUCACUUUACUCUGGACAUCAACGUGCUUGACACUGUGACACCAUUUAGUGGUUCAGAACAGGUGACAGUUGGGAAUGGUAAGCAACUCUGUAUCUCACAUCUUGGUACUGCAAAACUACCAUCUUCGUAUUCUCCUCCUGUUCUACAUCAGGUAUAUCACACUCCAAAAAUUUCAAAUAAUCUUAUUAGUGUUAAAAAAUUGUGUUCUGAUAAUAAAGUUUUUGUUGAAUUUUAUGCCACUCAUUUUCUUGUCAAGGAUCAGGUUUCGAAGAGAGUUCUCCUUUAGGGUCAACUUGAUAAUGGCUUAUACAAAGUUCAGUCGUCAUGCUCUCCUUCUGCUGUUUCCUUUCCUCCUCAAGUUUUCAUAGCCAACAUCAAGUAUCCAAAUCUGUGGCACAAGAGACUAGGCCACCCAGCUUUAUCUGUUGUUAAUCAAAUCUUGGAUUCUUGUAACAUUGCUCGAACACAGAAAAUUUGUUUUAAUUUUUUAAAUUCUUGUCAAUUAGCAAAGAGCCACAGGCUUCCUUUUUCUCUGUCUCCAUCCAUUGCAGAAAAACCUUUUGAGUUAAUUCAUACAGACCUAUGGGGUCUUUCGCUCGUUCGCUCUAUUUCUGGUGCUCUUUAUUUUUUACUUUUCAUUGAUGAUCAUACUCGUUUUACUUGGUUUUAUUUGCUCAAAACAAAAGAUGAAGCAUAUCCUACUUUUCUCAAGUUUCAAGCUCUCAUUGAAAAUCAAUUUAAUACCAAGAUUAAGGCUGUCCAAUCUGAUUGGGGAGGUGAGUUUCGAUCUCUCUCCAUACCGUUUUCAAAUAUGGGCAUUGUCUAUUGUUUAUCGUGUCCAUACACCUCACAACAGAAUGGGCGAGUUGAGCGAAAAAAUCGCCAUGCGAUUGUCCUUUCUUGCUUGCUCUAUGCCCUUAUCUUAUUGGCCUUAUGCCUUUCAAACUGCCACUUACCUUAUUAAUCGUCUCUCUACCCCUGUGCUGCAUCAUCAAUCCUCUUACUUCGCACUCUAUCACAAACUCCCAACUUAUACUCAUCUUAAGGUCUUUGGUUCCUCUUGUUUUCCGUAUUUGCACCCUUAUAAUACCCAUAAACUCCAAUACAGGUCACUAGAGUGUGCUUUUCUUGGUUACAGUUCACACCACAAAGGUUAUCUAUGUCUUGACAUUCAUUCUAGCAGGGUGUAUAUUUCUCGCCAUGUGAUUUUUAAUGAAGAUUCUUUUCCAUUCAAGAAUUUGAAAUCUUCUCUCUCUCAGUCUAUUUCUUCUUCCUCUUCUUUAUAAGUUCCUCUGUUCAUUCUCUUGCCUCCCCUUUCCCCAUCUCCUCUUAUUUCUUCAUCUAUACCUCAUUCUUUUCCCUCUUCUUCUUCUACCUCUAGUACUUGUUCCCCUCUCGUUGCUCCUACCUCUCUUCCUUCCUCUUCACACUCUGUGUCUCCAUCUAUUCCACCUCCUUCUCCACCUUCUCCGAGUGUGGACCUGCUUGCACCUUGUGUGAAUACAAAUUUACAUACUUCUUCUCGCACUCACAAUAUUCAUCCUAUGGUGACUAGAUCUAAGGUUUGUAUCUAUAAACCUAAGUUGUUGUUGAGUGUCUCCAUAGGUUCUCUCACUAAGCCUACUUCCUUUCUUCAAGCUAUUAAAGAUCCUUCAUGGAAGCAAUCCAUGGAAUUCGAGUUUGCUACCCUUCAACACAACAAGACCUGGCAUUUGGUUCCUUCACCUUCCUCAGGCGAAGUAAUCGGUUGUAAAUGGGUCUAUAAGCUAAAGCUUCAGCCUGAUGGCUAAAUUGAGAGAUACAGCCUGCUUAGUAGCUAAGGGUAUCAUCAAAUUGAAGUAUGGACUACUUCGAAACAUUCAGCCUGAUNNNNNNNNNNNNNNNNNNNNNNNNNNNNNNNNNNNNNNNNNNNNNNNNNNNNNNNNNNNNNNNNNNNNNNNNNNNNNNNNNNNNNNNNNNNNNNNNNNNNAGCUUCAGCCUGAUGGCUAAAUUGAGAGAUACAAGGCCUGCUUAGUAGCUAAGGGUUAUCAUCAAAUUGAAGGUAUUGACUACUUCGAAACAUUCAGCCUGAUUGUCAAGCUUUCUACUAUCUGUAUUGUGCUCAGUCUUACUUUUUCCCAGAAUUGGUGUAUUAGACAGCUGGAUGUUCAUAAUGCCUUCUUACAUGGUGACUUAGCUAAAGACGUUUUCAUGGAACAACUGCCUGGAUUUGUUGAUCCUCUCUAUCCUACUCAUGUCUGCAAGUUGGAUAAGUCUCUCUACUGUCUUAAAUAGUCACCUCGGGCUUGGUAUACUAAGCUGAGUACUUCUCGCUACACUUGGGAUUUGUUACUUCUAAGAAUGACUCUUCCUUAUUUAUUUGUCAUUCGUCUCAUGGGUUACUUCUUGUUCUUGUCUAUGUGGAUGAUAUAAUCGUCAUUGGGAGCCACUCUCCUCAGGUUACUCACCUUAUCCAACAGUUGCAUCAUUAGCUUUCUUUAAAGGAUCUUGGUCCUUUACAUUAUUUUCUGGGCUUGGAGGUUCAUCACACCCCUACUGGUAUUCACCUCAGCCAAGCAAAGUAUAUCACUGAUCUCCUUACCCGGGCGGCUAUGUUGGAUGCCAAGCCAUGUCCCACUCCUAUGUCCUCCAACACAUAUCUCUCUUUUCAUGAUGGAGUGGCUCUUGAAAAUGGUUCAGAUUAUCGAAGUUUUGUUGGUGCCCUUUAGUAUUGUACCAUGACACGCCCAGAUAUAGCUUUUGCAAUAAAUAAAGUGUGUCAAUUCAUGCACCAUCCCUCUAAUGUUCACUGGCAGGCUAUAAAACGUAUUCUCCGGUACUUAAAGGGCACAUCUCAUUUUGGUCUCUUCCUACAGCCUUCCUAUGACUUCAACAUCACUUGCUAUACAAAUGCCGACUGGGCUUCCUGUCCUGAUGACAAGUGUAGCACCAGUGGCUACUGCCUCUUUCUUGCCUCUAAUCUGGUUUCUUGGUCAUCUUCCAAACAAAAAGUGGUCUCCCGCUCCAGCGCCGAAUCAGAGUACCGAGGGGUAGCAAAUGGGGCUGCUGAAAUUGCUUGGACUGAAUCUCUUCUUUGUGAACUUUCCAUUACUCCCCCUCCCCUCAUUCUCUGUGACAAUAUCAGUGCCACGUACUUAGCUGCCAAUCCUAUUUUGCAUGCCCGCACCAAACAUGUGGAAAUCGACUAUCACUUUGUCACGGAACGUGUUCUUCAAUGCUCUCUUUUUGUCCAGUUUACACCUUCUGAUGAUCAACUUGCUGAUUGCAUGACCAAGCCUCUCUCCACCCAACGUUUCAUCACUCUACGCUCCAAGCUCACUGUUCUCACUAGACCAAUGAGCUUGAGGGGGGAUGUUAAGCCUAAAGAUGUAAUUAGUUAGGAUAUUCUUUUCCCUCUAGUCUUGUAGCUCCACGUGUACAGUUGGUUAGGACCUCAUUGUAUAUAAUGCCUGCCCUGUUAUUGUAGAAGACAACAGAGAUAAAUAAUAUUAACAUUUUUCCUCUCAUCUCUCUCUCUGUUUCCCUCUGUUUUCAUCUCCUCUCUCAUCUGAACCAAAUGAUCCAUGUUAACCUUGGCUUGGUUUGAUUUGGCUCUAUCUUAGAGAGCUCAAGGAUCACGUCAACUCUGGUUUCUACUAUUCAGGUCCAUUCCCAUAUGAACUGGUUCAAAUUUGAGAAAAUGGUAACAGACCUUUAGUGAUGUUGGUUUGGAGCCAGUUGCCAAACCCGCCCUGAGCUUUACCACUAAUGUCAAGGGAGAAAGCCAUUUGAACAAAAACAAUAGCUUCAAGGGACUGAAUCGUGGAUGAAAUCUGAUCCACAUUUCUUCUCAUUUUGGAAACAAAUGAGAACUUAACUAAGAAGAUUCUACGGCCUCAUAGUGCUUUUCCUGAUCUAAGGUUGGUUCGUUUCCCAAACUGUGAGAUGCACGUGCCAGACUUCAGAACUCUCACGCUCAGGAGUGUAUCCACGUGGUGGACAUAAGAUGGUGGCUUAAGAUCUGGUGUCGGUGGCUUUACUUUACUAGGAGAGUAGUGUGUCUUCAUCUCAUUCACUGCCGGAGGGUGGCGUAAGCAGUGACGCUAAGGUGGGGCACAGUCAAUAUCAUUUGCAUUUGACCAUUAUAGUUUUCUCCCGGCUUUAAAGUAACCUUAUCGUGAUAAAGGAUUACUAGCACUAGUUCAGAUGAUAGUCAUGUUAAAUUCGGACCAUGUUUGUGUCACAUUAUCAGCAACCAUGUGUUUAUGGUUCAUGCUUUCUGCAACUAAAAUUGAUAUAUAACCAGGUGAACUUCAAUCUAAAUUCUGAAAGUACUCAUGUGAUAGAUGGUGCCCGUCUGCAGAGUCCAUCAAUUGAAAAAUGGAGUGAGUGUAUCUAUAAGAGGGAAGGCUUGGAAAAUGUUCAGUUUUCUGGGAAUUCAACAAGGAUCUAAAAUAGAUUGUUUUCUUUGCUGAUUUCAAUGGUUGAAAUUUGAGAAGAUUGUGUCCACAUAACACAACUAUUACUGGUCCUUCUGUUGCAAUUUAUCCUCUAAAGCUCUAGCAUGUCUUCCAAUUCCCACUUCCCUGUUACUCCAGGAAAGCUAUUUCUGUCAUUGUGAAGAAGAAAAGAGAAUGUACAUAUCGAUGCUUUUAAGUGACUGGAGCAUUUAUAUCAGGUGGUCUGCAGCCAUAUAUGCCACUUUGUGAAGAUUGGAACAGUCAAUCACUAGGCUAUAUAUUAGUGUGGCCCAGCCACUUUAAUCAAGGACAAGUCUUCAUACUUAAAGUCAAAUUCUGCCUUUAGUCUCAUUAUAAAUUUCUGUUUAAAUAUUAAGCAAACAUUUGUUUAAUGCGAUUAAGACAGUACUAACUCAAUACCUGUUCUAUUUUUGGAUGCAAAUGCUUGAUGGUUUCAUCAUUGGAUGGGAUAAAGGUGCAUUCAUGAUUAGGAAUACUAGUAGUUAUAUUUUAAUUCUCUUUUUUCUCAAUGAGACUUGUUGGCACAAUUUUGCUGUUGAGAAACCUACCUCUCCAUGGAAAAUAAGUUGUGAUUGAUAGUACUGGAUAUAUUCAAGAAAUCUAAAUAUAGAUAGCACAAAAUAUUAUCGACAUAAAUAGCAUUAACAGCGUACGUAUGUCUCAGUGCUCAUCAGCUAUAAGCAUGGGGCAAACACUUACUAUGAGCAACUUACGUCAAAAUUCCAGAAUAGGACAUAGAAGUGACAGAUAUAGAACAUUGCAUAUGAGUCACAAGAAAGGAAAUUACGGGUGCAUAGCAGCUCUUAUUUUACAUACUACUACUCAUACUGAUCAAAGUCACUCAGUUGGGAUGGGUGGGAGUAGGAGGUUUGUGGGGUGGCUUGUGCGGAGGAGUUGGCAGCUUCUUUCCAGGACCUGGUUGCUUCUCUGCUGGAGUUGAAGGAGGCUUAAUCUUCCGAGGUGGCUUGUAUGAGUCUUCAGCAUUCUCAGCUGGAGGGUGACCAGGGUUGUGACCAUAAUGUGGUGGCUUCUCUCCCUUAGGUGGUUUGCCAACUGGGGUUGGUGGCUUGUAUGAGUCUUCAGCAUUCUCAGCAGGAGGGUGACCAGGGUUGUGACCAUAAUGUGGUGGCUUCUCUCCCUUAGGUGGUUUGCCAACUGGGGUUGGUGGCUUGUGUUCUGGGAGUGGCUUCUCCCCCUUGGGAGGUUUUUCCAAUGGGGUUGGUUUGUGUUCAGGAGGUGGCUUCUCCACUGGAGGCUUGUGUUCAGGAGGUGGCUUCUCCACCGGAGGCUUGUGUUCAGGUGGUGGCUUCUCCACCGGAGGCUUAUGCUCUGGUGGUGGCUUCUCGAAUGGGGGAUGCUUAGGAUAAUCAGCAAGUGAGGGGGCGGUGAGAACCACCAGGCCAAGCAACACCACUAGCAAAUAUGUAGGAGACAUCUUUGGGUUUGGGCUCAGAUGGUGCAAAACUAGGAGAAUUGGCUAGCCUUUUAUAGCGGAUCGUACCCAAUAAUGAAAUGACACGUGUCAUUAUGACCCAUGUGUAAUGGGGUCGAUUUGGGUCCUACAGUGUUGAAAACUUCGACAUCCACUUUUGGCCUUUUGCUUUCUCUACAGCCGCCUUGCUUUUUCCCUCUUUCCUUUUGUUUUCCUCCUGCCCCAUUCUAUCAACUAAACACAAUUAUGUAGUUGUUUAAUUCUUAAAUGAGAUAUUAUCCGUCAAUCGUAUUAUAUUUUAUCAAGAGAGAACGGAGUGCAAUGUGGCUGUAAUUUUAUCGUUUAGUUUUAUCUCUUGGACCACUGCAUUUUUGUUAAGAGGUGCAAUAAUACACGUCUUUAUCUGCCAUUCAAUAUUUACAGUAAAGAGAGGGCACAAAACUCUUCACUUCGCACCAUAAUUAUUUUGUUUUCUGGACACCCCGGGGCCCUUUGGUUGGUUUGGGGGUCAGAAAGUGAACAUCAUAGGGGGUUUUUCCCUUAUGUGCAUUUGUAUCUGAUGGCUUUAACUCGCCUUGUUACUACAAAGAAACUGUCACAGAUAGGAACUUAUUCCAGGCUGAGUAUCUCCUCAUAGACCCUAUAAAAGAAGACAAGUCAUAAUGAACAUCUAACCUUUGUUCAAUUUGAUUCAAUGCCCCCAUUGUGUCCAUCUCACAAAUCUGAAUUAUUAUAUCCAUUGAAUACAUAAAUUAAUGAAGAAAAUAUGAAACCCAAGAUACAUCUCUGCACAACCUCAACCCUGGUUGCUAUGUUUCCCUUCUAUUCACAUGAUUUGAUGCUAAUUGCCAAACUUGCAACAAGCCCUGAGUUUGACACCUAGUAUCGAUGGGCGAAUUUAAAGUCUCCUCCAAACAUAUAUUCCACAGCUUGAAGCUCACAGAAGAUGUUACAGGCAGGGAAAAACCUUCAGAGUUCGCUACCAAAGAUAAUUAUUAAGGAGAUAUCACAAAGAGAAUUCCAAGGGGUCUGAAUCAAAGACAAAUUGGUCGUUCGUGGGGGUUCUUACUUUCUUUUGGGUAUAACUCACUGAGGGCACUGUCUUUGUUAUUUGCAUUUCACAUUUAGAGUUCUGUUCUGGAAACAUAUAAAAGGAGCAUCAUUUUGUUCUUGGGUAACCCAUAGUCGUGAGUGGGUCCAUUUGCAUGCUACUUAGUUGAAAAGUUGGACCAUUUGCUCCGACGCCUACCUCCCGGAUUCCAUGCUCGGAUAAAACAAGAAUAAAAAAAAUAUUUAUAAUUUACAAAUGGGGGAAAGAAAAAAAUGUCAACAACAAACCAGGAAAAAAGAGUAGUAAAAUUCAUGUCACAUGCUAGUGAGAGAAGGGGUUGUUACACUCACUCGAAGUUCUUUCCAAAAUAUCGCAUGGUAUUUUAUUUUAUGUGUCAGCGCAGUUGUGAAUGGAACGUGCAAAAGUCCAAAUUGGCGUUUUUCCUUUUCCCGUGUAGGAUGGCGACCUUUAAUAAAUAUUUAAAACAAAAAACGAAAAAAAGGAGGGAAAAGGGAUCAGAAAAGAUAAAACAAUGUGUACAAGAGCUCAAUUAGUUUGCAAAUUACUGUUUGGAUUUUGAUAGUAUUUUAUUUGUCCAUCUAUAUUUGAUGGAAAAGAGAAUUUAAGAUAUUUCUGAAACAAAAGCAUUAGUGUAAAACUAAAUUAAGGUAUAAUUAAGUUAGUUCAAUGCAUUAAUUUAAGAAACUUGAUCUAUCCAAAGUACAAAAUUAGAUGAAAUCCAUUUCAAUGGUUAAAAUGAUCAAAAUCAAACUUUUUCUAAGUAUUUUUUAAAAGCAUCAAUAUUAAAAGACAAUUUUAUAUUUAGUCGGAGUUUGGACAAAACCAAAAAGCACACAAAAUCCAAGCGACCAUCUCUAGCUUGGAUAGUCACUUGAUCCCACCUAGAGAUGUGCAUGAGUAAAAGGAUUUGAAAAUGGAAAUUGACUAAAUAUUUAGUUGAUCAAUUAAAUUUGCAAUGUCAUAUGCAAUCCUAAUAGCUAGUCAUCUAAUCAAUUAGGUAGUCAAUCAAGUGUUUGUAAUGACUAUUUUGUACAAAAAACCACAUGUAUAGUUAAAUAUAAUGCAUUUCAUUUAUAAAUCUUCUAAUUCUUGAAUAACGAUCCUAUCAUCCUUUGAAAAUUUUUAUUACACCUUUUUUACUUUUGUUCUAAAACUUACAUAUCACCCUUAAUUGUACCAUGAGAACCUAGCUAUUUUUUUUUUUUUUGUAAUUCAUCAAAGUUAGCUUUUGUAUUCAUUGUUGUAUUAUUUUUAGUAUAACUUAGAAAGCUAGUGUUUUCAAGUGAGUAAAAUUAACUUGUAAAUAUUGUAAAGAUUCAUUGAUAUGUAUCUUAAACUAAGUGUACAAAUUAAAACAUUUGCUAGUAGAUUUUCUCAAAAUUUAGAAUAGAGCUUGAGGCUAUUGAAAUAGGUGGGGUUACACCAAACCACAUCACAUCGUUGUUUGCACCUUUUUUCACUCUCUUUUACUUAGUUUCUCUAUAUUUGUUGUCUAGUAAUAUCCUAUAGGCUUGAUGGGUUAGGGAGCAUCCCUUUGUGAAAAAAUUUCAUUCAAUUCUUAGUUGUAUUACGCAUAUAUAAAAUGCCUCAUUGUUUUAAUGGUAUUCAGUCGUGGCAUCACAGAUAUGGGCAUCUAAAUUUUAAAAGUUUGAAACUUUUGUAAAGCAUGUUGAUAAAAUCCAUGAGAGUUGUGUACUUGGGAAGCAACAUCGAGGUGACUUUAUUUUUUUUUCCUUUUAUAAUGCCACACCUAAGUCCGGUUUCUAAAUGCUAAAGUGAAAGGGUAGGUAUGGACCAUUGAAAUGUGAUCACAACUUUUGGCCUUUUCCUUUCUCUGCAGCCAUGUUGUCUCUUUUUUCUUUUGCAUGAUUUUCUUACCAAAACAGAAUCAUAGACUUGUUUAGUCUCUAAGCUACUAUAUUAUAUCUCGGUGGACUUUUAAGAGUGCAACCGACAUAGAGCACAUGCAAGUGGGCAUAUGGGACAUGAAAUUUCUUCUUACAAAGAUUGCAUGAUUUUUAUAUUAGAGUUGUUCACGUGCAAUGUAUUUAGCUUGUUUUGCAGUUAAAUUAAUUGGAUAAGUAAACAUUGGCAUUUCUAAAUCGACUGUGAAGUGCUUCAUGUACGUGUAAAGUAUUAGAAAUUUCUUUCUUGGCAACUUGUUUUUUCCUUGCCAUCUACUGGUAGGUUUGACUAAAAUUAUAUUCCCUGUCAUGCUAAUUAAUUUUCAUGUGCAUGCUCAAAAGAAGAGUAUGACCUUAGUGCACCAAAAUCACUUUGAUUAAUUUGUGAUAGGUUUUUUUGCAUCAUUUAGAUAAUGUUUAGUUCUAAGAAAAAUUUAUAUAAAAAUGGUUUAUUUAUCUUACAUAUAUAUAUAUAUAUAUAUAUUUUUUUUUUUUUCAUUUUUUUUUCUUCUAUUUUAUUUAUUUAUUUUAUUUUCCUUAUGUUUUCCUCACAUUUUCCGGAACUAAACAUAGUCUUACGAAAUCAACAAUUGCCUUCAACUGAGUAGAUUCUGUUGUUUUAGCAAUGUUAGGCUGCUAACUUGUGGUGGUACGAACCAAAUGACCCAUGUUAAUCUUGGCUUGGUUUGAUUUGGCUCUAUCUCAGAGAGCUAAAGGAUCACGUCAACUCUGGUUUCUACUAUUCAGGUCCAUUCCCAGAUGAACUGGUUCAAAUUUGAGAAAAUGGUAACAGACCUUUAGUGAUGUUGGUUUGGAGCCAGUUGCCAAACCCGCCCUGAGCUUUACCACUAAUGUCAAGGGAGAAAGCCAUUUGAACAAAAACAAUAGCUUCAAGAGACUGAAUCGUGGAUGAAAUCUGAUCCACAUUUCUUCUCAUUUUGGGAAAAAAUGAGAACUUAACUACAAAGAUUCUACUGCCUCAUUCAUAGUGCUUUUCCUGAUCCAAGGUUGGUUCGUUUCCCAAAUUGUGAGGUGCACGUGCCACUCUCACGCUCAGGAGUGUAUCCACGUGGUGGACAUCAGAUGGUGGCUUAAUAUCUGGUGUCGGUGGCUUUACUUUACUAGGAGAGUAGUGUGUCUUCAUCUCAUUCACUGCCGGAGGGUGGCGUAAGCAGUGACGCUAAGGUGGGGCACAGUCAAUAUCAUUUGCAUUUGACCAUUAUAGUUUUCUCCCGGCUUGAAAGUAACCUUAUCGUGAUAAAGGAUUACUAGCACUAGUUCAGAUGACCGUCAUGUUAAUUCGGACCAUGUUUGUGUCACAUUAUCAGCAACCAUGUGUUUAUGGUUCAUGCUAUCUGCAACUAAACUUGAUAUAUAACCAGGUGAACUUCAAUCAAAAUUCUGGAAGUACUCUUGUGAUAGAUGGUGCCUGUCUGCAGAGUCCAUCAAUUGAAAAAUGGAGUGAGUGUAUCUAUAAGAGGGAAGGCUUGGCAAAUGUUCAGUUUUCUGGGAAUUCAACAAGGAUCUAAAAUAGAUUGUUUUCUUUGCCGACUUCAAUGGUUGAAAUUUGAGAAGAUUGUGUCCACAUAUCACAACUAUUACUGGUCCUUCUGUUGCAAUUUAUCCUGUAAGGCUCUAACAUGUCUUCCAAUUCCCACUUCCCUGUUACUCCAGGAAAGCUAUUUCUGUCAUUGUGAAGAAGAAAAGAGAAUGUACAUAUCGAUGCUUUUAAGUGACUGGAGCAUUCAUAUCAGGUGGUCUGCAGCCAUAUAUGCCACUUUGUGAAGGUUGGAACAGUCAAUCACUAGGCUAUAUAUUGGUGUGGCCCAGCCACUUCAAUCAAGGACAAGUCUUCAUACUUAAAGUCAAAUUCUGCCUUUAGUCUCAUUAUAAAUUGCUGUUUAAAUAUUAAGCAAACUUUUGUUUAAUGCGAUUAAGACAGUACUAACUCAAUACUUGUUCUAUUUUUGGAUGCAAAUGCUUGAUGGUUUCAUCAUUGGAUGGGAUAAAGGUGCAUUCAUGAUUAUGAAUACUUGUAGUUAUAUUUUCAUUCUCUUUUUUCUCAAUGAGACUUGUUGGCACAAUGUUGCUGUUCAGAAACCUACCUCUCCAUGGAAAAUAAGUUGCGAUUGAUAGUACUGGAUAUGUUCAAGAAAGCUAAAUAUAGAUAGCACAAAAUAUUAUCGAUAUAAAUAGCAUUAACAGCGUACGUAUGUCUCAAUGCUCAUCAGCUAUAAGCAUGGGACAAACACUUACUAUGAGCAACUUACGUCAAAAUUCCAGAAUAGGACAUAGAAGUGACAGAUCUAUAUAUAUAGAACACUGCAUAUGAGUCACAAGAAAGGAAAUUACGGGUGCAUAGCAGCUCUUAUUUUACAUACUACUACUCAUACUGAUCAAAGUCACUCAGUUGGGAUGGGUGGGAGUAGGAGGUUUGUGGGGUGGCUUGUGCGGAGGAGUUGGCAGCUUCUUUCCAGGACCUGGUUGCUUCUCUGCUGGAGUUGAAGGAGGCUUAAUCUUCCGAGGUGGCUUGUAUGAGUCUUCAGCAUUCUCAGCUGGAGGGUGACCAGGGUUGUGACCAUAAUGUGGUGGCUUCUCUCCCUUAGGUGGUUUGCCAACUGGGGUUGGUGGCUUGUAUGAGUCUUCAGCAUUCUCAGCAGGAGGGUGACCAGGGUUGUGACCAUAAUGUGGUGGCUUCUCUCCCUUAGGUGGUUUGCCAACUGGGGUUGGUGGCUUGUGUUCUGGGAGUGGCUUCUCCCCCUUGGGAGGUUUUUCCAAUGGGGUUGGUUUGUGUUCAGGAGGUGGCUUCUCCACUGGAGGCUUGUGUUCAGGAGGUGGCUUCUCCACCGGUGGCUUGUGUUCAGGAGGUGGCUUCUCCACCGGAGGCUUAUGCUCUGGUGGUGGCUUCUCCACCGGAGGCUUAUGCUCUGGUGGUGGCUUCUUGAAUGGGGGAUGCUGAGGGUAAUCAGCAAGUGAGGGGGCGGUGAGAACCACCAGGCCAAGCAACACCACUAGCAAAUAUGUAGGAGACAUCUUUGGGUUUGGGCUCAGAUGGUGCAAAACUAGGAGAAUUGGCUAGCCUUUUAUAGCGGAUCGUACUCAAUAAUGAAAUGACACGUGUCAUUAUGACCCAUGUGUAAUGGGGUCGAUUUGGGUCCUACAGUGUUGAAAACUUCGACAUCCAGUUUUGGCCUUUUGCUUUCUCUACAGCCGCCUUGCUUUUUCCCUCUUUCCUUUUGUUUUCCUCCUGCCCCAUUCUAUCAACUAAACACAAUUAUGUAGUUGUUUAAUUCUUAAAUGAGAUAUUAUCGGUCAAUCGUAUUAUAUUUUAUCAAGAGAGAACGGAGUGCAAUGCAGCUGUAAUUUUAUCGUUUACUUUUAUCUCUUGGACCACUGCAUUUUUGUUAAGAGGUGCAAUAAUACACGUCUUUAUCUGCCAUUCAAUGUUUACAGUAAAGAGAGGGCACAAAACUCUUCACUGCUCUGCAUGUGUCCCAAAAAUGCGAUUGGACAAAUUAUGAUUUGCAUGCUAAAAAGAGGCAAAUGAGGUUAAUUCGCACCAUAAUUAUUUGGUUUUCUGGACACCAUAAAAAGAUGUUAUACAGGCAGGGAAAAACCUUCAGAGUUAGCUACCAAAGAUAAUUAUCAAGCAGAUAUCACCAAGAGAAUUCCAUAGAGUCUGAAUCAAAGACAGAUUGCUCGCUCGUGGGGGUUCUUACUUUCUUUUGGGUAUAACUCACUGAGGUCACUGUCUUUUUUAUUUGCAUUUCACAGUUAGAGUUCUGCUCUGGAAGGUUUGUUCUGGAAACAUAUAAAAGGAGCAUCAUUUUGUUCUUGGGUAACCCAUAGUCGUGAGUGGGUCCAUUUGCAUGCUACUUAGUUGAAAAGUUGGACAAUUUGCUCCGACGCCUACCUCCUGGAUUCCAUGCUCGGUAAAACAAGAAUAAAAAAAAAUAUAUAAUUUACAAAUGGGGGAAAGAAAAAAUGUCGGAAAAAAUAGUAAAAUUCAUGUCACAUGCUAGUGAGAGAAGGGGUUGUUACACUCACUCGAAGUUCUUUUCAAAAUAUCGAAUGGUAUUUUACUUUAUGUGUCAGCGCAGUUGUGAAUGGAACGUGCAAAAGUCCAAAUUGGCGUUUUUAUUUUUCCCAUGUAGGAUGGUGACCUUUAAUAAAUAUUUAAAACAAAAGACGAAAAAAAAAAGGAGGGAAAAGGGAUCACAAAAGAUAAAAUAAUGUUUACAAAAGCUCAAUUAGUUUGCAAAUUACUGUUUGGAUUUUGAUAGUAUUUUAUUUGUCGUUCUAUAUUUGAUGUAAAAGAGAAUUUAAGAUAUUUCCGAAGCAAAAGCAUUAGUUUGCUCUGUGAUGUCCCACAUCGAAUAGGGGAGAAAGUUUCUGGCGCUAUAUAUGUAGAGGCUCCUCUUAACCAAGUAGAUGCGUUUUAAAACCAUGAGGGCCCCCUUAGGUCCAAAGCGGACAAUAUCUACAUGAUUGGGUGUAAGUCAUUACAAAUGGUAUCAGAGCCGAUCCCCGACCCCGGUGUGGGGGUUUGUUUGGCCCUGUAAGGGGUGUUUGUCUGUUUGACCCCACAAUCCCAUGGGACACAACGAGGACGUUGUGUCUGCAUGGGGGGGCGUUUGUGAUGUCCCACAUCGGAUAGGGGAGAAAGUUCCUAGUGCUAUAUAUGUAGAUGUUUCUCUUAACCAAGUAGAUGCAUUUUAAAAUUGUGAGGGCCUCUUUGGGCCCAAAGCGGACAAUAUCUACAUGGUUGAGUGUAAGUCAUUACAUGCUCCAUGUCAAUUUCAGCAUUUCUCAUAUGUUUCACACAUACACAGAAGAGCAUCGUUUUUUAAAGCAUGCAUUUAUGUUGGAUUAAUUUGGAUUUUGUGGGAACUGGGGCAAGGAUCACAUGGAAGAGAGGUUGACUUUUUUCAGUACUUCAAUGGUUGAAAUAUGUGAAGGCUUGAUUGAUACUAAAGCUUGAAAUUGCGACUCUGUCAUUUGUAAAAAAAUAUGACAGCUUCCAUGCUCUCGUUUGGUUGCAUUGUCCGGUCGAGAGGUGCAAAAAGCAUUCUCUCUCUUCUAAUAGUCUUUUCGUUUAAAUCAAGGGAUUUGCCUUCCCGGUCGAGGUCCAAUAGAGGGUAACGGUCACCUACUAAACAUUAAAUGCUCCAACAACUAGUGAACUGAUCGACCCCAGCUCGACUAGUUGAGGUUACUUUUUGGUUUUCUUGUCUCCCGAGGUUAGAAACCUAUAAAUAGAGAGCUUCACUUCAUUUAUGAGUAAGAGAACACCUAAAUUUAUUUGUUUACCUACUUGUUUUUGCCAUAAAAGCUCUCAUUUCUUUUCUUGGUGUAUUAAAUCUCCAUUUGCAUAUCCUUUAGUGCACCUUUGUGAUUCAUUCUAGCCUUGAGUUGUAUUUAAGCCUUUGUUGAGCUAGGUUGAGAGUUUCAUACUUGUUUAUUGAGUGUUAAAGCCUUCAAGUGAGUUAAAACUUGAAGAGAUUGUGUAAGAGCCCAUUGGAGUCGGAAUCCAAGUGUAAAGGUGAUUAAAAGCUUGGUUGAAGCUUCAAGUUAGUGGAACUCUCACUCGGUUAUGAGCUUGAGAAGAGUGGACAUAGACAAGGCAGUGUCGAACCACUAUAAAAUCUGAGUUUGAUUUCUCUAACCUUAUCUCUUUAUAUUUGCUUCUCUUGUGCUUAAAUUUUUUGUGUUUAAAAAGAAUUUUUAAAAACUCAAUUCACCCCCUUCUUGGGAGUUUUUCUCUUUUAAGAUCAGCUUUUAUUUUCUCAAUUGGUAUCAGAACUAUGCCUCUUGUUUAAGACUUAAUCGUCUAAGAGGAAAUGGCUAAUCCAUCAAGUUCAUCUCACAUUGAAAGUUUUGCAACCAAUAGACUUCUUUUUUUUUUUUUGCGGGAACUGAUUAUCCCUAUUGGAAAACUAAAAUGACUUGGUUUUUACAAUCAAUUGAUUUAGAUGUAUGAGAUGCCAUUGAAGAUGACCUAACUUUUCCUUCAAAACUAGUUGAUGGAGUCAUGGUUCCAAAACCUAAGCAAGAAUGGGAUGAGCGUGAUUGAAGAAAUUUUCAAUUAAAUGCUAAAGUCGUUUAUACUUUGCAAUGCUCUAUGGACAGAAAUGAAUAUAAUAGAAUAUGUCAAUGCAAAUCGGUUAAAGAAAUUUGGAGAUUGCUUGAAAUAACUCAUAAAGGAACAAAUCAAGUUAAAGAGUCAAAAAUCAAUUUACUUGUUCAUAGAUAUGAAUUGUUUUUUAUGAAAGAUAAUGAAACUAUUGUUAAGAUGAUCACUAGGUUCACCAACAUUGUUAAUGGUCUUAAAGCCUUGGGAAAGACCUACAAGGAAUCCGAAAACGUGAUGAAGAUCUUGAGGUCACUUCCAUCAAAGUGGCAUACCAAGGUCACCGCAAUUUAAGAAGCAAAAGACUUGAUCAAGCUACCUUUGGAGGAGUUCAUAGGGUCAUUGAUGACAUAUGAAAUCAAUUUGGCAAAGAAGUAACAAAAAGGUGAAGACAAAAAGAAGAAGAACAUAACUCUCAAAGCUACAACUAAGGAAGAAGAAGUUGAAGAAGAAAAACAAAUUGAAGAAGAUGAAGAUUUAGCCCUCAUCACAAGAAAGUUCAACAAAUUCAUGAGGGGUGAAAGGUUUAGAAGAAGAAGGUUCACUUCUAGAAGAGACUUUUCUAAAAAGGAAUCUUCAUCUAAUGGUGACAAAAAGAGAUGGGAAGAGAAAAGAGACUUGGUGUGUUUCAAGUGCAAGAAACCGGGACACAUUAAAUAUGAUUGUCCUCUCUACAAAAGUGAAGUCAAGAGGAAAAAGAAUAAGGCAAUGAUGGCCACUUAGAGUGAAAGUGAAGAUGAAUCAUCCGAAGAAGAAAAUGAGAAAGAAGUGGCAAACAUGUGUUUCAUGGCAAUAGAUGAACUUGAUGAGGUAAAAUCUAACCUUAGUGAUUAAGAUAUACAUGAUGCAUUUGAAGAAUUGUAUGAGGAUUUUUAAAAACUUAGUUUGAAAAAUAUUUCUCUUAAAAAGAAAGUUCAACAACUUGACAAAGAACUUAGAGAAGUAAAAGAAAAAUUUUCAAAUGUUAAAGUUUCUAAAACUCAUCUUGAAAAAGAAAAUGAGAUUCUAAGAAAGAAAAAUGAAUAGUUGAACUCCUCUCUUUCAAUCUUUUCUUCUAGACAAAAAUCUUUUGAAAUGAUUCUAACUAGCUAAAAAUGUGUUUUUGACAAACAAGGGUUAAGAUUUAAAUCUUCAAAAAAUCAAAAGUAUUUUAAAAACUAUUUUGUAAAGGAAUCCACAAGUGCAAGUCCUUCCACUACUUGCAACUUUUGUGGAAGAGAAUGGCACAUUAGUAGUACGCCCUUUAAGAAAUGGUUCUCAAAAGAAUUUAAAUGCAAAAACUAAAAAAGAUUUGGAUUGAGAAAUCCAAGGUCACUAACCCUCAAGGACCCAAAAAGAUAUAGGUACCUAAAUCAACUUGAGUUUUAUGUUGUAAGGUUCAAAGAAUGAUAAGUGGUUCUUAGAUAAUGGUUGCUCAAGACACAUGACCGGAGAUGAAUCCAAGUUUGCUUUUCUUAAAAAGAAAAAUGGAGGAUAUGUUACCUUUGGAGACAAUGCAAAAGAAAGGAUGAUUGGUCAAGGCAACAUUGGUAAUGGCACAUCCUCUCUCAUUGAAAGUGUUUUAUUAGUAGAUGGUUUCAAACAUAACCUUUUAAGCAUUAGUCAAUUUUGCGACAAAGGUUUUUAAGUGAUUUUUUAAGCAUCUCAUUGCAUCAUCAAGGAUAUUCAAAAUGAUAAAACCAUUUUCAUGGGCCAUAGAUGUGAUAAUGUUUAUGCUAUAAAUAUUUCAAAAUAUGAUGGCCAUGAUAGAUGUUUUUCAAGCAUGCAUGAUCAAAGUUGGUUGUGCCAUAGGAGAUUGAGACAUGCUAACAUAGACCUCAUUUCCCAACUCAACAAAGAUGAACUUGUUAGAGGCCUUCCCAAAAUAAUUUUUUAAAAAGAUAAAGUUUGUGAAGCUUGUCAAGUGGGAAAGUAAAUCAAAAACUCUUUUAAAAACAAAAACUUCAUUUCCACAUCUAGGCCACUUGAGUUGUUGCAUAUGGAUUUAUUUGGUCCCUCUAGGACACCAAGUCUUAGAGGAAAUUCUUAUGCAUAUGCUAUUGUGGACGACUUCUCUAGAUACACAUGAGUCUUGUUUUUUAGUCAAAAGAAUAAAGUUUUUUAUGAGUUUUCAAAGUUUUGCAAUAAGAUUCAAAAUGAAAAAGGUUUUUCAAUUACUUAUAUAAGAAGUGAUCAUGGGAGAGAAUUCGAAAAUAUUGAUUUUGAAGAGUAUUGCAAUGAGCAUGGAAUUGACCACAAUUUUUUGGCUCUUAGAACUCCUCAACAAAAUGGGGUAGUUGAAAGGAAAAAUAGAACUCUUCAAAAAAUGACAAGAACCAUACUAAAUGAAAACAACUUACCAAAAUAUUUUUAGGCCAAAACGGUUAACACUUCUUGUUAUGUUUUAAAUAGAGUAUUAUUGAGGCUCAUACUUAAGAAAACUCCCUAUGAGCUUUGGAAAAACAAAAAACCCAACAUUAGUUAUUCCAAAGUCUUUGGAUGCAAUAUUUUAUAAUAAACACCAAAGACAAUCUUGGAAAAUUUGAUGCAAAAUUGGAUGUUGGAAUUUUCCUUGGUUACUCAACUUCAAGUAAAGCUUUUCGAGUUUUAACAAAAGAACCAUGGUUGUAGAGGAGUCCAUCCAUGUUAUUUUUUAUGAAUCUCCAAGAAAGAGAGAGGAUUGAUGAUGAUUUAGGUUUGAAGACCUCUAUAGGAAGAUUGCAAAUCGAAGAUAGAAGACAACAAGAAGAAAAUGGAGAGAAUCCAAAGAAAGAAGGAUCACCAUUGGCACUACCCCCUCAUCAACAAGCGCAAGGUGAAUCAAGUCAAGAGCUUCCUAAAGAAUGGAAGUUUGUCAUCAAUCACCCACAAGAUCAAAUUAUAGGCAAUCCAUCUAGUGGGGUAAGAACUAGAUCCUCUCUUAGAAAUAUUUGCAAUAAUCUAGCUUUUAUCUCUCAAAUUGAGCCUAAAAAUAUAAAUGAUGUUUUAGAUGAUGAAAAUUGGAUAAUUGCAAUGCAAGAAGAGUUAAAUCCAUUUGAAAGAAGUGGAGUAUGGGAAUUAGUACCAAGACCUUCAAAUCAAAGUGUUAUUGGAACUAGAUGGAUCUUUAGAAAUAAAAUGGAUGAAAAUAGCAUAAUUGUUAGAAAUAAAGCAAGAUUGGUAGCCCAAGGUUUUAAUCAAGAAGAAAUGAUAGAUUAUGAAGAAACCUUUGCCCCCGUAGCUAGGUUGGAAGCCAUUAGGAUGCUACUUGCCUUUGCAUGUUUUAAAGACUUUGUUUUAUAUCAAAUGGAUGUGAAAAGUGCUUUUUUAAAUGGUUUUAUAAAUGAAGAAGUAUAUGUUGAACAACCACCCGGUUUUCAAAGUUUCAACUUUCCUAACCAUGUUUUUAAACUUAAAAAGACACUUUAUGGUUUGAAACAAGCACCUAGAUCAUGGUAUGAAAAAUUGAGUAAAUUUCUUUUGAAAAAAAUGUUUUAAAAUGGGAAAAAUUGACACAACUCUUUUUAUAAAAACCAAAGAAAAUGAUAUGCUCUUAGUUCAAAUAUAUAUUGAUGAUAUCAUUUUUGGUGCUACUAAUGUCUCUCUUUAUGAAGAAUUUUCUAAGUGCAUGCAUAGUGAGUUUGAAAUGAGCAUGAUAGGAGAACUCAACUUCUUCCUUGGACUUCAAAUCAAGCAACUAAAGGAAUGAACCUUCAUCAAUCAAGCAAAGUAUAUAAGAGAUCUUCUCAAAAGGUUCAACAUGGAAGAAGCCAAAACAAUGAAGACUCUAAUGAGCUCAUCCAUUAAGCUUGAUAAGGAUGAGAAAGGUAAAUCCAUUGACUCUAUUAUGUAUAGAGGCAUGAUAGGUUCUUUGCUCUAUUUGACCACUAGUAGACCUUACAUUAUGUAUAGUGUGUGUUUGUGUACUAGAUUUCAAUCUUGUCUUAAAAAAUCUCACUUAAGUGUCGUGAAAAGAAUCCUCAAAUAUUUGAAAGGGACAAUGGACAUAGGCUUAUGGUAUCCUAAGAGUGAUAACUUUGAAUUAAUUGGUUUUUUGGAUGCUGAUUUUGUCAGUUGUAGGGUUGAAAAAUAAAACACUAGUGGCACUUUUCAUUUCUUAAGACACUUACUUGUCUCAUGGCAUAAUAAGAAGCAAAAUUUGGUAGCUUUGUCAACAGCAGAAGCUAAAUACAUAGCAACUGGUUUAUGUUGUGCACAAAUCCUUUGGAUGAAAUAAACACUUAGUGAUUUUGAUUUAUCUUUUGAGCAUAUUCCUAUUAAAUGUGAUAAUAGUAGUGCCAUAAGUAUAUCAAAAAAUCUCGUGCAACACUCUAGGACUAAGCAUAUAGAGAUUAGACAUAAUUUUCUUAGAUAUCAUACACAAAAGGAUGAUAUAACACUUGAAUUUGUAAGCAUAAAAGACCAACUUGCCGAUAUCUUUACAAAACCUCUAAGAACAUUUUGUUGAUAUUAGAGGACAAUUAGGAGUGAUUUCUUUAUGAUCUAAUGUGAUGAAUUCUUGAUGAAUAUACUUUUUGAUUGCAUGAAUUUCAUGUCAUAUAUGCAUCAUAUAGAAAUAUACUUAGAUAAUGGUCAAAUUUCGACCAAAAAUCAAAAUUCCCAUGGCAUUAGGCAUAAAAAUUUUGGAAUUUCAACUGAAAAUGGUAGGAGGAGGAUCACAAAAUGAGAAAGUAUGCAAAAAUUGAAAAAUCAAAACGUUGACCAAGCGGUCAAUCGGACUAGACCGAUCGACUAGUUUGUCGAGAUUUAGGAUUUUUAAGAGACUCCAACGCUUCAAUUUUUGCACCGUUCUCCUCUAUUUCUUCACGGUUUCUCUGAUUUUGUCUUUUAGAGACUAAUUUGAGUGCGUUUUGGAUCAAUUGAAGCAUUUUGGAUUGGAUUUUAGGAAGAUUGAAAGUUAAGGUUUCGGAUUUGGGUCGCCUUCUCUUCCUCUCGCGUGUCACAAUCAGCUUUAGCAUUGUUCUCUUUCCAUUUUCACACACCUAGGGUUUCAGUUGUGAGCAUCUCUCUCUCUUUACCAACCACUACUCCCUUGCUUCUUCCAUAUGGCUCCUAGGCGAGAGUCCGCUACUUCUAGGGCACAAGGCAAGCACCCAACUGAGUCGUCUCAGUCAAAGGCACGUCGAAAAGUGAGAUUUGACAUUGCCUUGUUCAGUUCCAUGGAGGACUACCAACUAUACAAGCAACACUUUGCUUAGAGACGAGUAGUUCCCAAGAGAAAUAUUAAUUUUCCUCAACUUCAGCAUUUCGAAUUUAAGGGUCUAUUUACUAGGAUGGUUGGUUGUCUAUUGUCACAAUUUCGGAGCCGGUUUUCCUGACCUUAGUGCGAGUUUUUUACUCGAGGGCGACUUAUGGCAUGGGUGGCAUGAUCAUUUCUACUGUUGGAGGAGUUGAGAUCUGUCUGGACCCAGAGAGCAUCUGCCAUAUUUUCGAUAUUGCUCUGGUUGGACUCAAAGUAUACAAGUCCAAAAUGUGGCCCAUUGUGCCAGGAUUUGAGCUUAGAGAGGUCAUUCAGAGGAUUUGUGAACUUCCAGACGCCCAGGAGAUGGGCAAACCAUUGCCACACAGUUUGACGGUCAUCAACAGGGUGCUACACCAUAUAUUGUGCUCUAUCUUUCUACCACGAAGUGGACAUUGAGAUGAGGUCUCUUAUUAUGAGGCAUUCCUUAUUGACUCCAUUCUAACGGAGAGACGAAUUCAUCUACUAUGUCAUCAUUCACUAAGCCUCCUCACAGUGACAUACCACCUCAUCAGGCACCUCUUGCUCCUGACCAUGCUCCAUUGAUGGAUUUAUUUACUCAUAUUAGCUCUCUAGGCACUCGCAUGAAGGAGUUUGUUGUAGUUAGUGAUACAUGGUUCUACUCCAUAGAGGAUCGCAUGGAUCAGUAUCAGACUGGCUUCACGUCACAGUUUGAGUAUCUCCAAUAGAGGAUUGAGCAUAUUGAGGAUCACUUGAGCAUGAGAAGAUGAUGGCUUUUCUAUGCUCUGUGUUUCCACCUCCACCUCGUCAACCUUGAUUUCUUAGAGACCCAUUGUUUUCAUUUUGUAAUGUUGCCAAAAGGGGGAGAUAUUUAGGAUCUAGGACUCUAUAGGAGACUUACAUGCAUAUCAUUUUCAUAUCAUUGUUUGGAUCGUACAUAUUGGAUAGUGAUACUUUUUACUUAUAUAUGAUAUGCCUAUAUGUUUCAUGUCUUACAUUGUUUCUUAUUGCAAAUUAUCUCUAACAUGUCUUGAUUAUCUUUUUUUUAACUUCAUAAAUUUUGAUUGUUAACCCAUGAUUGGUUUGAGGGGAAGAUUCUUCUUCUCCUAGAUAACCAAGGUUUGUCAUCAUAAAAAAAUUGGAGAUUGUUAGCCCAAGGGUUCUCCUAAUCAUGUUUUGAUGAUAACAAACCAUGCUUAAGUUACUAAUUGGUUUGAAUUAUAAAGAAUUUCAAGUGUUAAUUUGAAAAUUCAUCAAAGAACCUAAUGGAUGCAAGAUCAAGAUUUUUGGAAGACCUUUAAUCAUAAGAAACAUAUGUAAGAUGAAUGCAUGGGUGCACUUAAGAUUUGCAUAUCAUUUCAUGCAUAUUUGGAAAACACGGUUUAUGCUUUAAAGUUACAUUUCCAUCAAAAUUUGAGAUCCAUCAAAUGAACCUUAGGAAAAAUGUUUUAAAAUUGGCAUAUAAUUUUACCUAAAGACCUUGCCUAAGUGUUAGAAGCAAAAGGACAAAAAAAAUAUAGGUUUUCUGGUCAAAAAUGGUGAACCAGUCAAGGCAUUGUCUAAAUCAGCUCAAUCGGCCAAGGUACCGGUCGAUCGGUUUCCCUUUCCCUGUCGAGAUCUAGUCAAGAGGUACAAAAAUCACAAUCUCUGUCUCUUUCUCUCUUUGUCUAUCUUCCAGUAGUCUUUCCUUCCCGGUCGAGGGAUUUGCCUUCCCGAUUGAGGUCCGAUUGAGAGUAAUAGUCACUUGCCAAAUAUUAAAUGCUCCAACAGUUAGUGAACUGGUCGACCCCCACCUUGCCCAGUUGAGGUUACUUUUUGGUUUUCUUGGCUCCCGAUGUUAGAAACCUAUAAAUAGAGAGUUCCACUUCAUUUAUGAGCAAGAGAACACUUGCAUUUAUUUGUUUACCUACUUGUUCUUGCCUUAAAAGCUCUCAUUUCUUUUCUUGGUGCAUUAAAUCUCCAUUUUGAUAUCCUUUAGUGCACCUUUGUGAUUCAUCUUAGCCUUGAGUUGUAUUUGAGCCCUUUUUUUAGCUAGGUUGAGAGUUUCAUACUUGUUAAUUGAGUGUUAAAGCCUUCAAGUGAGUUGAAACUUGUAGAGAUUAUGUGAGAGUCGAUUGGAGCCGAAAUCCAAGUGUAAAGGUGAUUAGAAGCUUGGUUGAAGCUUCAAGUUAGUGGAAUCCUCACUCAAUUAGGAGCUUGAGGAGAGUGGACGUAGCCAAGGAAGUGUCGAACCACUAUAAAAUUUGAGUUUGAUUUCUCUAACAUUGUCUCUUUAUAUUUGUUUAUCUUGUGCUUAAAUUUAUUGUGUUUAAAAAGAAUUUUUAAAUACCCAAUUCACCCCCCUCUUGGGUGUUUUUCUCUUUUAAAAUUAGCCUUUAUUUUCUCACAAACUAUUGUAGUAUAGUGGUUUUUAGGUGUCAUCCAUUAGGAUGAAUUGUUCUCGGUAAUUAAGGCGUGAAUGAGAGGAGAAUUAAUGAUUGUGAUUAAGUAAAAUUGAUUUGAAAAUUCAUGGUGAAAAAUCAAUUUAACAAUGGUUUCUAAUUGAGAAAAACAAUGAAAUGUGAAAUAAAAUAAAAUUAAUAGGAAAUGAAAUUCUCGAAGUUAGAAUUUUCUAAAAAACAAAUUCCAUGGUGAAUGGAUGUUGAGAUCUAAUUUUCAUCAAGUUAGAUUGAAAACCGAAAUUUUCAUAUAAACUGAUUUUUUAUUUAGUUUUAGGUCUAGAUUUAAUUUCCCUUAAAAUUAGGUUAUUUAAUCCAAGAAAUCAAUUCAAAUCAUAUAUUCAAUUCAUCUUAAAUUAUCUUCCAAUUAUUCACACAAUGCAACUAUUCAAUCUCAUCAAAUCUAGCUUUUAAGAAUUUAAUGAAUCUACCUAGUUUGCAUUGUAAUAGUCAUCCAUGACAAUUUGAAGAGAAAAAUAAUUCAAUUAAUCAAUCACUUGGAUCAAAUUACCUUUGCAAUUAAAGUUCAUUUCUCUAAUUCACCACAGAUUUUGUCUCUAGAUCCUCCUUUCUCAAAGAAAAAUGAGAUUUAGCCACACAUGAUUGGAGAUUUGGUCUCAUAAGGCAUGUUUAGCUAGUGAUAAAAUGAGAGAAAAUAAAGAAAAAUAGAGAAUUCGAUUAAGAAAGAAAAUCUAAAAAAUUCUACAAUUAGAAAUGUCCAAAAAGCUUUUUCAUGAGAAAAUCAAGUUUCUAUUUAUAGGCCAAGGUCAAGUGGACACUUGACAUCAUCUAAGAGGUCUUCCGGAAGCUUCUUCAUCAAGAAAUCUGGAGUUUAAUAAUAAAAUGGUCAUUUCACAAGAGCUCAAACAAUUUCGCAUGAUUAUGUGAAAUAAAAAAUGCAACAACAGCAAUUUACAUCUUCUUGGAGCAUUUCGCAUGACUGUGUGAAAUUUUCACAUGAUCAUGUGGAAUCGACUUGACAACUCUCAUUUAGCCUACAACAUAAUUCCACCUUUUGGUCCAUUUUUCAUAGUCAUGCGAAAUGGAAAUAUUUGAUUUUUAAGUUUUCUUUUGUCAUUUCUUUCAUUUCCUUCUCUUGAUUCCACUUCAACUACCUCCGAAUCCUGGUCCAAACCAAUUGCAUUACUUCUUUCAUUAUGCAUUUGGAUCAUCAUCAACAUUAUUUGUUCUCUUCAAUUUGAUUCAUCUCUUUUGUCACCAAUUUAUCAAAAUCAUACCUUGAAAUGACUCCAAAACUUCAUAAAACUUGUUAGUAACUCUUGCAAGGGCAACAACAUAUUAAUUAAGUGUUUUAGGCAUAGUUACUACUCAAAAGAUGCGAAACUCAUGAUAAUUAUUAUAUAAAAUAUGCUCUUUUUGAGUAGUAAUCAACUUUCUUGCAUAAGCAGACCUUUUAGGGUGGAGUACUAAAGACCAAUAUGCUUGUCCUUGUUGUAAUAAAGAAACUUGCUCUUAUUGAUUGCACCAUGGGAGAAAAUUUUGCUACAUGAGUUAUCAUCAAUUUCUUCCCACCAAUCAUAGAUUUAGACGUGACAAGAGGCCUCUUAAUGGCAAGGAGGAACUGACACUCACACUUAUACAAUUAUCGGGCAUUGAUGUGUUGCAACAAUUAGAAUAACUUACACCAAUUAUGUUGGGGAAGUCACAAAAGGCAAACAUGAAAACUAAAAGGAAAAAAGAAAAAUGUUACAUAUCACCACAACUGGAAAGAAAAAAGUAUUUACUUUCAUUUGCCAUAUUGGAAAGCACUUAUUUUACAUCAUAAUAAUUUAGACAUAAUGCAUAUUGAGAAAAAUGUGUGACAAUAUAAUUGAGACAUUGUUCAGUAUUGACGAAGAAACAAGGACAACCUAAAUAGUCAUCUCGAUUUACAAGCUCUAACUAUUAGAAAUGAGAUUCACCCAAUAGAAAGCAGGACCAAAUUUAUUUUGCUUGCAACAUGCUACUCACUCACCCCAAAUGAGAUUAAGGAAUUUUGCAAGUUUUUGAAAUCAAUAAAGGUCCCCAAUGGCUAUUCUUUCAAUAUCUCUCGUUAUGUGCAACUCAAUGAAAGGAAGAUAUAUGAGCUCAAAUUGUAUGAUUGUCAUGUCCUAAUGCAACAACUUCUCUCACUUGUAGUUCGUGGAGUUCUACAUAAGAAUGUUUGUGGAGUUAUCAUAGAAUUGCGUAAUUUUUUCAAGCAAUUGUGCUCAAAGGUGUUAGAAACAAAUCACUUACACCAACUUGAGAACAAUAUUAUUGUCAUACUAUGUAAAAUGGAGCAAAUAUUUCUUCCAUCAUUCUUUGAUAUUAUGGUGCAUUUACUUGUGCAUCUAGUAAGGCAAAGGUUGCAAGACUUGUGCAAUAUUGUUGGAUGUACCUAAUUGAACGAUAUUGUUAUAAUUUCAUAUGAAUCAUUUAAUUUUAUUUUAUAUUAUGUUCAGUUCAUUAACAUGUACAUUGGUCUACAUAUGGAUGAUGAUAGGUACCUAAGCACUUUAAAGUCAUAUGUGCGUAAUAGAACUUUUCUAGAAGGUUCUAUUGUAGAAAGGUACCUUGCAAAAGAAUGUACAACAUUUUAUUCUAGGUACUUGAAUGAUGUGGAAAUAAAGUAUAAUCACAAUGAUAGAAACUUUGUUGGUUUCAACACUAGAGGAGAUGAAAGGGGUUAUCUUUAAACAUAUUGGACAUGCAUUGGGAAAGCCCAUAUUUCAUUAACUUAGUUCAAAAGAGUGGUCACAAGCACAUUUAUAUGUGUUGACAAAUUGCGAAGAUGUCAUACCAUUCAUUGAGUAAAAAAUUUAUUUGAAUUUUAAUUAAAGCUCUAGUUUAUAUCCUUAAUCAAUGUUUUUUAAAUUCACAAGGAGCACAAGCAAACCAUCAAGGCUAGACCACAUAUACGUGUUUGAGACGUAGAUUUAAUUCAUAACAAGGAAUUUAUCAAGUGGUUUGAAAGACAUGUAAGUAUAUUCCUUAUUAUAAGGGAUUUAUUUCACAUUAUGUUUAUAUUGAAUCCAAACCUAUUAUUGAAUUGUAGGUUGAACAAUUACAUAAUGAAGGUCAUAUAUCUGAACACCUUCUCACAUUAUCAUGUGUUCCAAAUUCAUUAGUUACAUGCUUCAAAUGAUAUAUUGUCAAUGGAUUUAGAUCCCACAUUAAAGAACGUGAUAAAAAAGUUUUUAAAAAAAGACUCAGAAUAAUGGAAUUGUUGUAGUUGCAAAAACGUCAAGCUUUACAAGUGCAUGUGAUAUGAGUCCAAUUAUUAGUGAUGCUCUCUACUAUGGUGUUCUAACUAAAGUUGUUGAGUUACAUUAUCUUGGUGAAAAUAAGGUUGUUUUAUUCGAGUUUGAUUGGUGGGAUGUUACAAAUAUUGGAAAAUUGAUAAAAGAUGAUGAGUACAAUUACACAUUUGUUAACUUUGCAUGAAUUCUAACCACGAACGAACGAUUUGUACUUGCAUCUCCAGCAAAGUAAGUGUUCUAUGUGAAGAAUGCGAAUGAAUCAGAUUGGCAUACUAUCAUGGAGAUGCAACCUCAAGACCUCUAUAAGAUGAACGGGAUAGGAUCCAAUGGUGAUUUUGAACCAUUUCAACAAAGUGAACUACAUGAUCACUAAUAUAUCUCAGAUUUAGUUGAUGAAGAUAUAAUCAAGUGGAACAAAAGUGAUGUUUUAGGACUAAUCAUCCUAAAAAAUAUUGUAGUUUCUUAAAAAAAAAAUGAAAAUGAAGAAGAUAAUUGAACCUUUGUCAUACUUUAAAAAGCAACUAUGCAUUGUUCAUUUUGUAUGUUUUGGUUUUCUUCAUUUAAUUUCCUGAUUUUUGUGAUUCAAUGUCAUAUUAUUGAUCUUGAAAUAUUUUUCUAAUUUUUCAUUCUACGAUGGUUUCAACAAGGAUGACAUCAAGUCAAAAAAGGAAAUGUGGUCCCACACACAAUAUUGCAUUACAGGGAUUAAGGUCAGGGAAGAAGGUAAAAGUUGCAUUUAAUGAGUACAAUCAAUUGGUUAAACAGAAAAAUGGAAAACACUUAUCGAGCUACAUAGGGACACUUGUAUCUAACCAACACAAUGUACCUCUCCAAGCUAGUGAUUGGAAAAAUGUUCCAAAUGAUGCAAAAGAGAAAGUAUGGCCUUUGUUUUGGUAUGUUGUAUUUCUCACUAUAUGAUGUCAUUUCACUGUUAUUCUAUUUUGUGACUAACGUUUGAAUCAUAUGUAAGAAAAAUUUGAAGUAGAUAAAGACUGAAAAGAUUACAUGUUGGGUAUAGCCUCAAAUAAAUAUAGAAGCUAUAAAAAUAUGAUGAAUGCAAAAUACUAUGACCCUUGGCAUAAGGAUGCAUGAGGAGAGGUUAAUACAUAAAUCACCAUUUGUCUCUGAUGUUGAUUGGAAGUGGCUUGUCUCUGAUGCAUAAACCAAAUCCCCCACUGAAUGUUUGAUAUUUGAUAGCAGGAAAAACACACCCGCAGCUAUACACCUCCAUCAUUCAGAUAAUUAUAGUGGGGGAGAUGAUUCAUGGUUGCCCUUAUACCCUUUAUUUGCACCAUCUAUUGAGAUUCUUUAUCAUGGCCAGGUUUUACUGCAGCAAUAAGAUAUGGUGGCAACAAUUUUAUCUAUAGGUGCGGUUCCAGACCGCCUCCAUAGGUGCGGUUCCUGACUGCCUCCAUAGGUGCCUCUUCUUGUAAUGUUUGUUCUGGGAAUUACACUUGAAAGCCUUAUCGUGAUAAGGGAUUACAAACACUAGUUCAGAGGACAGCCAUGUUAAACUUCCACUAUGUUUGUGUCACAUUAUCAGCAGCCUAGUGUUUAUUGGUCAUGCUAUCUGCAACUAAUAUAACCCGGUGAACUUCAAUCUAAAUUCUGAAAGUACUCAUGUGACAGAUGGUGCCUUUCAGCAGAUAUCAUCAAUUUAAAAGUAGUGUGUGUGCCUAUAGGUGGGAAGGCCUUGGCAAAUGUUCAGUAUUCCGGUAAUUCAAGAAGGAUAUAUCUAAAAUAGAUUUUCUUCUUGCCCAUUUCAAUAGUUAAAAUUUGAGAAGAUUGUGUCCACAUCACACAAAUAUUAUUGGUCCUUCUGUUGCAAUUUACCUCUGAACAUGUCUUCCAAUUCCCACGGUCCUGUUACUCCAGGAAAACUAUUUCGGUCAUAUUGAAAAAAAAAAUAUUAAAGAAGGUACACAUGCUUUUAAGUGGACUGGGGCAUUCAUAUCAGGUGGUCUGUAUCCACAUAUGCCACUUCGUGAAAGGUGGAACAGCCUAAUCACUAGGCUAUUUAGUGUGGCCCAGCCACGUUAAUCAAGCACAAGUCUUCAUACUUAAAGUCAAAUGGUGUCUUUAGUCUCAUUACACAUCGCUAUUUGAAGAUUAACUCAUCACUAGUGUAAUGCGAUUAAGACAGUCCUAACUCAAUAUUUGUUCUAGUUUUGGAUGCAAAUGCUUGCUGGUUUCAUCAUUGGAUGGGAUAAAGGUGCAAUCAGGACUAUGAAUACGUGCAGUAAUACUUCAUUCUCUUUUUUCUCAAUGAGACUUCUUGGCACAAUUUUGCUGCUCAGCAACCUACCUUUCCAUGGAAAAUCAGUUGUGACUGAUAGUAAUGGAUAUAUUCUAGAAAGCUAAACAUAGAUAGCAUUCAAUAUUAUCGAUAUAACAUUAACAGCGUAUGUCUCAAUGCUCAUCAGCUACAAGCAAUGGACAAACACUUUGAGUAACUCACAGCAGUCAAAAUUCCUAAACAGGACAGACGUGACAGAUCUAUAUAUAGAACACUGCAUAUGAGUCACAGGAAAAGAUAAUACGGGUACAUAGAAGCUCUUAUUUUACAUAUUACUCAUACUGAUCAAAGUCGCUCAGUUGGGAUGGAUGGGAGAAGGAGGUUUGAGGGGUGGCUUGUGCGGGGAAGUUGGCAGCUUCUUUCCGGGAGCUGGUUGCUUCUUUGCUGGAGUUGAAGGAGGCUUAAUCUUCCGAGGUGGCUUGUAUGAGUCUUCAGCAUUCUCAGCAGGAGGGUGACCAGGGUUGUGACCAUAAUGUGGUGGCUUCUCUCCCUUAGGUGGUUUGCCAACUGGGGUUGGUGGCUUGUUUUCUGGGAGUGGCUUCUCUCCCUUGGGUGGUUUGCCAACUGGGGUUGGUGGCUUGUGUUCUGGGAGUGGCUUCUCCCCCUUGGGAGGUUUUUCGAAUGGGGUGGGUUUGUGUCCUGGUGGUGGCUUCUCUCCCUUGGGAGGUUUACCAAUUGGGGUCGGUGGCUUGUGUUCUGGGAGGGGCUUCUCUCCCUGGGGAGGUUUAGUGGGUGGCUUGUGUUCUGGAGGUGGCUUCUCCACCGGAGGCUUAUGCUCUGGUGGUGGCUUCUCGAAGGGGGGAUGCUCAGGGUAAUCACCAAGUGAGGGGGUGGUGAGAACCACCAUGCCAAGCAACAACACUAGCAAGUAUGUAGUAGACAUCUUUGGGUUUGGACUCAGACAGUGCAAAACUACGAGAAAUCGCUAGCCCUUUAUAGCGGCUCGGACCUAAUACUGACAUAAUAUAAAAUAAAUAUUAUAUUUUAUCAAGAGAGAACAGAGUGUAAUUUUAUCAUUAAUACCGAUCGAGGCCAAAGAAAGAAGACCCAUAAUCCAUUUCCCACAAGCAUACACAAUGCAGCUGUAAUUUUAUCAUUUACUUUUAUCCCUUGGACCACUGCAUUUUUGUUGAGAGACACAAUAACACAUUUUUAUCUGUCAUUCAACAUUUACAGUAAAGAGAGGGCACAAAACGCAAUUAGAUAAAUUAUGUUUUGCCUGCUAAAAAGAGGCAAAUAACUUUAUUUGCAACAUAAUUAUUUUGGUUUCUAGUGACCCCGGGGCCUUUCGGUUGGUUUGGGAUCGGAAAAUGAACAUCAUAGGGGGGGUUGUGCCCUUAUGGGCAUAUAUAUCUGAUAGCUUCAACUGGCCUUGUUCCUAGAAAGAAAUUGCCAAAGAUAUAAACUUAUUCCAGGCUGAAAGUAGAUGAGAGUCAUAAUGAACAUCAACCUUUGUUCAGUUUGAUUCAAUGCCCCCAUAGUGUUCAUUUCACAGAUCUGAAUGAUUAUAUCCGUUGAAUACAUAAAUUAAUGAAGACAAAUAUGAAACCCAAGAUACAUCUCUGCAUAACAACCCCAACCCUGGUUGCUAUGUUUCCCUUCUUCUAUUCACAUGAGGAUACUGGUUAUAAUUGUCAAACUUGCAACAAGCCCUUUGACACCUAACGUCAAUGGACGAAUUAAAAGUCUCCUUCAAACGUCUAUUUCACAGCAUGAAGCUUAUAAAGGAUGCUGACAACCUUCAGAGUUAGCGACAAAAGAUAAUUAUCAAGGAGAGAUAGUUCCAUGAGAAUUCCAAGGAGUCUGAAUCAAAGACAAAUUGCUCACUCAAGGGUUCUUAUUUUCUUUUAGGUACAAAUCUCUUGAGUGUUGUUAAAGAAACACGUCACUGUCAUUUUGAUUUGCAUUUAACAUUUCACUUUUGUUCUGGAAGGUUUGUUCCGGAAACAUAUCAAAUGAGCAUCAUUUUCUUCUUCGGUGACACAUGGUCGCGAGUACGUGGGUCCAUUUUCAUGCCACUUAGUUGAAAAGUUGGAAAGAAAAAACAUGCCAACAAGAAGAUAGUGAGAGAAGGGGCACUUCAAGCCUUUAACAUGAACAAACAGUAAAUAAAAGAUGUUUCUCCACUCAUAAAAGUGUGUUAGAUAGCAAUAUAACGAAUCACAUCCAAAAUCUUUACUAGGCUCAAACAUAAAGAAGACUCAUUUUUAAGAAAAGAUAAAAAUGGCAUUGUCUGAUAGUAUCCAAUACACGAGAUGGCACUUAAUUUGUACAAGAUCUGUCAAUGCUGACGCACAUUUUCUGAUUAAAAAAAAACUGAUCAGUCAAAAGCAAUGAAGAGAAGUGAUGACAAUGAAUGAUGCUUCCAAUAUUUUCACCCCUUAUAGUGUUCUUCAUGAUUCAGAUAUAUAAUUGGAAAUAGAACAACCCUAUGCCAUACAUUCGUCUAAGUAUGGUGUCUAAUUUUUUGUGUCAGCGGUUGCGAAUGGAGCGUGCAAAAGUCCAAAUUGGCGUCUCUCCAUUUCCACAUAGGAAGGUGACCUUUAUUGACAAAUACCCAAUAUUUGUAGACAUUCCUUAAAUAUCAUAACUUCUUGUUGAUUUGAAAAUCAUUUUUCAACUACCAUGUUUUAAUAAAUAUUUUUUAAAAUGUAUUUUUAUCAAAGUCCACCAUGAUGGAUAAUAUUCACCAUGCAAUAAUUAAUAAAGUACAAACUAAGCGAAAUGAAAAGCAUUUUCUUUGCUUUGAGUUGAUUUUGGUUGCAUUGAGUUGAUUUUGGUUUCAUGGUUUUUUCAACUCUUAUUUUGAUUGGAAGAUGUCAAGAAAAGAAAACAUAAAGAAAAAUUAAAAGGGAAAAAAGAAGAAAAAUAAAAAAAAAUAGAUUUAAAAGUUAAUAAAUUAUUUUUUAUAUUUAUUUUAAUUCAUUUCACUUAUUUUUCUUUUACUAUAUAAAAUUUAAAUAAUUUAAAUUUUAUAAUUAAUUUAAUUACAUUUCAUUUUCUUCUAUAUUUAAAUAUUGGAAAAAUAUUUUACUUAAUAUUUUUUUCUUUAAUUUCUUUGGCAUUUUGGGAACCAAACUUAGCCUUUAAAAUAAAAAACAAAAAAAAAAUGAAAAUAAGGAGGGAAAAGUGAGAAAAGAUAAAAACAAUAUGUAAAGGAUUUGAAAAGUAUUAGUUUGUAAUUACUAUUUGGAUUUCAAUAGUAUUUUAUUUGUCUUUCUAUAUUUCAUGUAAGAGAGAAUUUAAGAUAUUCCCCAAGGCAAAGCAUUAGUUACCUGCAAUCAGUGGUGAUAAGGCUCCAAGCCAAUUUUGGGCCCCAUAUCUUAAGACAGUACAAUUUCCAUUUCAACAUUUCUGAUUUCUCAGAUGUUUCACAUACCACAGAAGAACAUUGUUUGUGAAAAUAUGCAUUUAUGUUGGAUUUUGUAUGCUGUGGGGACUGGGGCAAGGAUCAUAUGGAAGAGUGGUUGACUUUUUCUGUACUUUAACGGUUGAAAUAGGAUAAGCACGGGCAUUUGUGAGGCUUAAUUGAUUUUGAAGCCUGAAAUUGCGUUUCUGUCAUUUUGUCAAAAAAAUGGCAGAUUCCAUACUCAUAUGUUUGGCCUGUGGCCAUGUACAGAUGCCAUUUAGUGACCAGUUUGUAACUGUCAAUCGUUGCGUUUUGACUCUGCCUCAACAACAUCUGCCAUUGACGGGUUUUCAUACUUGCAAAUCAAAUAGUCUUUCGUCCCAUCAGGAAUUUCGGUUUAAAUAUUAUUAAGCAUACGUUUGGCUGACAAUCAUUAUCCAGUUCAUGAUUUGGUUUCUUACCCUUAAUCAAUGGUUUCUAAGUGAAUAUAUGUAGAAGGAAAUCCGAAGUGUAGACAGUAGUAUCGAUAACUCUCAAUAUUCUCUAUAUAAUAGAAUAAACAGCGUCAUAGUGAUCGUCGCCUACAAGCAAGGUACAAAUACCAAAACGAGUGACUCACAUAGACAUCUCCCAACAAGAUGUAGUAGUGACUGACACAUGGACACAAUUAACUCGUAGAAAAGGAUAAGACCAUUGCACAGCAGCUCUUAUUUUACAUACUACUUAUGCUAACCAAAGUCAAUUAGUUGGGAUGGGUGGGAGAUGGAGGUUUGUGCGGUGGCUUGUGGGGCGGAGUUGAUGGCUUCUUUCCAGGAGCUUCUGGCUUUUUCAUCGGAGCUGAAGGAGGCUCAAUCUUAUGAGGCGGCUUGUAUGAGUCUUCUUUACUCUCGACAGGAGGGUGGCCAGGGUUGUGAUCAUAAUGUGGUGGCUUCUCUCCCUUAGGUGGCUUGCCAACUGGGGUUGGUGGCUUGUGUUCAGGAAGUGGUUUCUCUCCCAUGGGAGGUUUAGCAAUUGGGGUUGGUGGCUUGUGUUCUGGGAGUGGCUUCUCUCCCUUGGGAGGUUUAGUAGGUGACUUGUGUUCUGGAGGUGGCUUCUCCACCGGAGGCUUGUGCUCCGGUGGUGGCUUCUUGGUUGGAGGGGGCUUGGGGUAAUCAGCAAGAGAUGGGGUGGUGAGAACCACCAGUCCAAGGAACAACACUAGCAAGUAUGUGGGAGACAUUUUUGAGUUUGGGCUGAUCAGAUGAUGCAAAACUAAAGCAUUACGUGACCUUUUAUAGCAUGUAGCUCCCAAUACCCACUAAGUAUUGUGGGGUCCAUUUGUGCCCUACGGGGUUGAAAACUUAGACAAUUGGGCAAGGACCCACCUGACUAUGGAGGACUAGUGAGGUGUGAUCAUAGCUUUAGGAUUUUUCUUCCUCUGCAGCCGUCGUGCCGUUGGCAUGAUUUUCUUAAUCUUAAAUAAAGGCAUAGUUAUAGAGUUGUUUAAUCUCUAAAUGGGAUUUUAUAUAUAUCUUCAGAUAGCCAUUAAUAUAUUUGAUGAAGAAAGAAAGACAAGUGCAUACAACAUGUAUACGACUAGCUUUCAUGGAGUUCAUUUAUGAUCAGUUUUCCUGUACAUGUAAACCAGGAUCAUAUAUAUGUUUCUGUUCCACAACUAUUUUGGAAUCUUGUUUAUCAGUUUUUAUCAUUAUAAUGUCACAUAGGCUGCCAACUUGGGCGCUAAAAGAACCAGUUGGGCUAGUUCGUUUCAGAAUUUCAAUGUGGAUUCAGGAAUUGUUUUGUAAGAUAUGCGAAAUAGUAGAGGGAUGAAUAGUGUUUCAUUAAUAAAAGUGUCCUGUAAAUUAGAAGGUGUCAUAGAAACUAUAAUCAAUAAAUAACUUUUUUUCCCCACGGGUGGUGUUUCUUGUGGGGAUCAGUGACUGGUUUAGGUUCACCCAAAAUGAGUUCAGACUAAAAUUGGUUUGAGUCAAUGCCGUGUCUCUUUUUUCCAGAAAUCAACUAUUUUAUGCAUUGAAUAAAUCAUACAAAGAAAAUAUGAACGCCCGCAAAACCUAAACCCUGGUUGCUAACUUUCUAUGUUUCAGUUCUAUUCACGCAAGAAUAUUAGUUUAAGUUUGGGAAAAAUGGCAACUUACCUAGUGAUUACUUGGUUUUGGUUUGCGACUAUUUACGCAACCAACCAUGAGUUUGACUUUAACGUCAUGGGUUGAAGCCUCCUACAGGAAGGGAGAAAGCUCCACAGCUAGCUCCAAAAGAGAAUUAUCACAUUGAUAGCUCCAGAGAUUCCCAAGGGGACUGAAUCAAAGACAAGUUCCUCACUUUUUCUUCUUUUGAGGCCAAAUAUGAACCAAGGAUCACACAACCUCAUUCAACUUCAUAAGUUUGAUUUCAUGCAGUUGAACACUGGGUGAAGGCCAUGACAAGAAUUGAUUCAAAAAUUCUAUCACUCUUUUAAGUAAUGGAAGAUUAUUAUCUCUGAUUGGCAUCACAACAGCACAUGCUCCUAGAUCUUUCUAGACACUCCAUGCAAUGAAAGCACAAUGGAUCUUGUAACGAUAGAAACUAAGCCAUGCUACAGUACUAGAUGAUGAGGUAAAACUAGUAGACACGGGUGGCAGCCUAUAUGGGAGGGACACAAGUCUAAUUGAUUUGCAUUUCAGCAUUAUAGAUAGGUAUGUUUUGGAAGAUUUGUUCUGGAAAUACCGCACCAAGUAGGAUUCUUUUUCUCUUUAGUGGGUCCACUUGCAUGCCAAUUAACGAGUUGAAAAGUAUGAGCACCUACCUCGUGCUCGUGGAACCGAAGGUCAGUGAAGUGGGGCUCCUUUUGGCCUCGUGUAAACUUGAUUCAGAAGUGAAGUUAAUAGUCUUCCAUUCAGAUGGAUACAUGGGAAUUUUUCUCUUUUAUUUAUUUAUUUAUUUUUUUUUUGUGUGUGUAUGUCAAAGGAUAAUGAAUGAAGCGCGUUAGCUUGUUUUCUGACUGGAACCGCAGAUGUCCAAAUUGGAGUUCCUUCAUUUCUUACUUAGGAUUGUUACAUGUAUAAACAAGGUAUAAGAAAUAUGCCAACGUGUCUUGAGGAGUUAUUGAUUAGAAAUAACAAGUCACCCGACUGUAGAGUUCCAAGAUUUGAAUCUUCAGACCCUAUAGCAGCCUCUGGGGUACGUGGCAUCCUAUAGCAUAUUAAUGAAGGCUUUUUCGAUUUAGACUUCACAAUACCAAUUAAUAUGUAUGCACAAAAUGGAGAUGACCCCAAAAAAAACAGAAUCGCCAUAGUUUAUGAGGUUAAGGUGAUUCUCCACUUAAUAUCUACAUUAGCUAAUUAUGUAAAUCAAAUGAACUUCUAUUUUUCCUUUUUUUUUUUGGUUUAUGUCAAAUAGUAGCCCAUAAUUAACCCAACCAUUAGCCUGUUUGAAUUGAUUUCACAUGCACAAUGUUGUAGUAGUUCAUAUUUUGAAUUUUAUUUUUACAAAGGUAGUUAAGGAAAAUGAAGUAUAAUAAUUAUAAAAGCAGACUAUAUACACUACAAUAAUUGUUAGAAUGGUAUCUCAAAUUCUAAUUUAAAAUAUUAUUUUUUGUAAAAGAAAUAUUAUAUAGAAUAUUUCCUAAUUUUAUAAAUGAUUAUAAUUAGAUCUUUAUAAAAUAAGGAAAGUUGGUAAGAAUAUCUUUAUAAAUAUUUUAGGUCAUGAGAGAAAGAAAUGGGAUAAAAAUGUGAUGAAGAGGUGAAAUAAGAGAGUUGAUUAGGAUAUAGAUGUGAAGAAGAAAGGGAUUCAAUAUAUAUAUAUCUUUCAAUUACCACAUUAAAACCCUGUGAACCUUUUAUAUGGUUUACUUUAUUUUUAUAUUCCUCCUUUAAUAUAUUUACAUUAAUGCUUCCAUUGGCACAACAAUAACGAAUUACAAAUACAAGCAACAAGUCCCAUGUUUUAUUACCAAAAGCAGGUAAAAUCCACCUAAUAUAUUACAAUAUAUUCAUCCAAUAUUUUAGACCAAUUCUUCACCAUAAAUAUCAUAAUGUGGCUUUUGUUCUUUCUUAAAUUUAAAUUGAAUUGUCUUAUAUCAAUUUGUUUGUGAUUUUUUCAUUAACUUCACUUUCAUUUGGUUAUCUUUGGUUUUUGAAAAGUAUUAAGGAAUUAAUUAACAAAAUAAUGUUAAGAAAAAUAAUUUUCUCUCUUUUGAUUUUGAUUUUGUAGUAGAAAAAUAUAAUUAAAAUUAUUUAAAAAGUAUGUAAUUUUAAAUUAUUUAAUAUUUAGAUAAAAAAAAUAAGUCUAAUGAGUUUAAAAUAACAUAUAAAAAUAAUUUAUUUAUUUUAAAUUUAUUUUUUAUUUUCCAUUAUGUUCUCUUUCUCUUUUACUUUUUCAUAUUUUUUCUUACGAAGAAUCAAACACAACCUCAUAUUAUAUGUCAAGUGUUUGUCUAUAUUUGAGCAAUGUUAGAUACGGCCAUGGAUUCAUCAAACUAAACUGAUUUUAAUAGAUACUUCACAAAUUGAUUUAUACACUAAAUCAUUGGAUAGCAAUGAUGCAUUGGAAUUAAACGUAGGAUGAAGCUCGAAGAACACUGUUUGUGUAACAACAUAUUUAUGAAAUUAUGCAAAGGAUGAGCUUCGGGGUAGUAGUACAAGGUCAUUAAUGGAGAGCCGUGUUAAACCUUGAUUGUGAUUGGAUUCCGUUAUCAGCAACAGCAACCUUGUUUGUAACCUUGAAAGUCAUUCUGUCCACAUCGAAACUCCAAUUUGACGUUUGUAAUUACCAUUCCUGGAGUGUUCCUUGAUUGAAAUUUAAAUAAUAAUUGCGGCCCACAAGGAAUAUUUUCGAUUCUGUGGGAAUUUGACAAGGUUUGUUAGAGAAGACUGGUGACAUGUUGACUUCAAUGGUUCAAAUAGGAGACGUAUGUGGAUUUGGGGGGUUUAAUUGAAACUGAGUCCCUAUGGCUUUUUAAUAUUUGCAUUGAGCAGUCUCCAUGUGACUUCCUAAUUCCCACCAACCCUCCUGUCCAUGCUGUGAAACUAAAUUGUAAUUUAUCAGCCUUUGUCAAUGGUUUCUAAAUUAAAGAUAUAGACCAUGCAUGUACUUUAAUAAAAGCAAAUCUAAAGUGUAGAUAGCAGCAAUGGUGACACCCAAUAUUCUCCAUAAAAUAGAAUUAGAAUAAGCAGUGUUACAUUGUUCAUGAUCACCUACAAGCAUACAAGAACUUCCAUGAAUAACUCAUAGCAAUUGCCAACAGGGCGUCGUAGAGACUCAUACAUAGAACACUAUCCACCCAGAGGAAAGGACAAGACCAGUGCGCUGCAGCUCUUAUUUUUCACAUGUAUACCACCACUCGUAAUAACCAAAUUCACUCAGUUGGGAUAGGUGGGAGAUGGUGGUUUGUGGGGUGGCUUGUGGGGAGGAGUUGGAGGAGGCUUUAUUUUCUGAGGCGGCUUGUAUGAGUGUGCAGGAGGAUGCCCGGGAGUGUGACCAUAAUGUGGUGGCUUCUCUCCCGUAGGUGGUUUGCCAAAUGGGCUUGGUGGCUUCUCUCCCUUAGGAGGUUUACCAAUUGGGGUUGGUGGCUUGUGUUCUGGGAGUGGUUUCUCUCCCUUGGUAGGUUUGCCAAUUGGGGUUGGCGGCUUAUGUUCUGGGAGUGGCUUCUCUCCCUUGGGAGGUUUGCUAAUUGGGGUUGGCGGCUUAUGUUCUGGGGGCGGCUUCUCUCCCUUGGGAGGUUUGCCAAUUGGAGUUGGCGGCUUAUGUUCUGGGAGUGGCUUUUCUCCCUUGGGAGGCUUGCCAAUUGGGGUUGGCGGCUUAUGUUCUGGGGGUGGCUUCUCUCCUUUAGGAGGUUUGCCAAUUGGAGUCGGCGGCUUAUGUUCUGGAAGUGGCUUUUUUCCCUUGGGAGGUUUGCCAAUUGGGGUUGGCGGCUUAUGUUCUGGGGGUGGCUUCUCUCCCUUGGGAGGUUUGCCAAUUGGAGUCGGCGGCUUAUGUUCUGGGAGUGGCUUCUCUCCCUUGGGAGGUUUUGUUGGUGGCUUGUGUUCUGGAGAUGGCUUCUCCCCUGGAGGCUUGUGCUCCGGAGGUGGCUUCUGAAAUGGCGGGGGCUUGGGGUAAUGAGCAAGAGAUGGAGUACUGGUGAGAACCACCAUUCCAAGCAACAAUACUAGCAAGCAUGUGGGAGACAUCUUUGAGUAGUUGUAGCUAAGAUGGCGCAACACUGUAGGCAUUGGGUGGCCUUUUAUAAAGGGCUGGACCCAACAGCCAUAUGACACGUGUCAUGAUGACAAAUGAAGUUGAGGGGAUCCAGAUGGGUCCUACUGAGUCGAAAACUUGCACUAAUUGAUCUGGUGAGAUGACUAUUUCUGUCCUUUUGCCCUUCUCGGCCACCCUGUGCUGUUUUCCUUUUGCACGAUUUUCGUUGCCAAACAAGCAAAUAAUAUUUCGCCAAGAAAGAGGAGAGUGAAUGUGGAAUGCAUCAAGUCCCAUCAAGGAUGGCAGAGAAGAAAUAGAAGAUUGCCCAACUGUGAUAAACAUAGCAUACACGUAGCACCAGGAACUUCAUUUACUUCCAUCUAAUGGAACAUAACAAUCUUCUAAAGUUUUUGCAUGAUUUUGUUAUAUGUCUCUUAGCCUAAAGUUGGAAAUGCGCAACAAAUUUUGUCACUUCUCUAUUUCCCACUGAUGAUGUUAAUUAGCCUUCAUAGAUAUCAUCCUUUCUACAAAGUGCUUCAUUUGUGUGUUAUUGUAAAGUGUAAGAAAAGUAAUUGAACAUGUUCUUUUUCCUUUCAUAGAUGACUUUUGAUGUGCAUUUUAAAAGCAGCGCUGUGAGUCGGUGACCUUGAUUCACACGGAAACUAAGGCUCCUAUAGGACCCACUUUUAGCUGGUUAGGGGUGAAGAAAAUAUCAACUUUUCAGAGUGAUUUAAGUCAAGGCCAAGCCUCACUGUGUCAUUACUCGUGUGAAUUUUAUAUGCACAUACAUACAUAAAUAAAGUAUGAGACCCAAAUAACACCUUCCCUUUACAAACUUAACCCCAGCCGCUCUCUUUCAAUUCUUUUCACACAAGGGUAUUGACUCUAUAAAGGUCAAGAAAAUCAUAAUUUCCUAGGGUUUACAAGGUAAUUGGCUUAAUGCUAAUGUGAAAACAUAAAAGAUAAUAGUAUAUUGUAAGCUAACGAAUAUUCUAUAGUUAUAAUUAUUUGUGAUGUGCAUAAAUAAAUCUUCAUAUAUAUAAUGGAACAAUGAAUAAAGAACCAAUGAAAAAAUACUAUAUAUCAUUGCUUGGCAUUUAAACCGUAUAUGCUGCUCUUUCUAGCUACUCCAUCCACUGAAAGACAACAAGGUAAUCCAUGUUAUAAUGAUAGAAGAUACUGUCUCUAGGCUUUUUGUGAUGAAAAAUAUAAGAUAUGGGUAGGGUUGACCCUUGUAUGUUUGUCCUAUAAACACUUCAAAGUAACAUAUUUUUCUUCUUUAGCAACUCAUAAUGAUGGGGUUCAUUUGCAUGUCACUGAGUUGAAAAGUUGGACAAUUGCCCAUGUCGCCUUCCUCCUAGAUUCCGUAGUUCACGGGAAGGUAACUCAAGUUUGACAUAUUUUGAAUUCUUUUCACUCGGACGUCUUCAUAACCUGACAAAACAAAAAUGAAAAACAGAGGAUUGGUAUAUUAUUCAUGGUAAGCCUCAAAUUAUAGUAGUAUGAGAAAGGAGAAAAAGAUUUUGGGAACUCCAAUCUGGAUAAUUCUCGUUUCUUCUCUUGAAUAAAAAUUUCACUUACCUAACUUCGUUUGGAGAAAUGGCAUAUUUUAAUUUUGUACGUCAUUGCUAAUAAAUGGAGCAAUUUAGCAUGUUUUGUGACUGAAACUGCAAAUGUCCAAUUGGCAUUUCUUCAUUUCCCACUUAGGAUCUGAUCUUGUAGACCAUAUAACGAUAUGUAUCUGUGCAAGCAUUGAAAACUAAUGUGAACUAUGAGGAGUUACAAGCCACUGGACUGUAGAGCGAGUGCCAAGAUUUAAAUCUUCAGGCUCUAUCUGGGUAAGGGGAGGAUAGCGACCUAACCUUUUACCAAAGGCUUAGAAUUUAGACUUUUGGAAAAAAAUUUCUCAUGUUUUGGCUGGAUUUCUUGUGCUUGGCGCAAAAAGGAGAUGGCCUCAAGAAAUAGCAGACUCACUUUUGUUUUCAGCCCUUAAUAAUUCUCCACUGCUUUCCAUAACUACAUGGGUUAUACAUGCAGUCUGCUGCAAUAUUCCAGUUAUAUUUAUUAUUUCAAAGAGGGUGAAUGACUUCACAUGCAAUAUGUUGCAGUAACAACCCAAAUUUUGGCACACCAUCUUAAGAAUAGAAAAGUAUAAUAAAAGAAAUCAAUCAGAGAAUCACUUUGCAUGCAGUUCAUAGAGUUCGCCCAAAAUGGAGCCACAUGUACGGACAACCCCACAAUAGACAAUCUUCUCUAUACAGUAAUAAAAUACAGAAAUGGUUAAUGAAGCUCUGUAUUUCCUUAUCAUAUAUGACCGGUUGAAAACUCAGCAAGUCUUCCUCAAUCACAGACAGUUGGAGUUGCUUCAUCAAAAUCAUGCCUUCAUUACUGGCUUCAUUUUGGUUUCAAUGUCUGUUCUACCCUUAAAUUGGGUCUCUGCUUACUACCGGGAUAUCCUUUAGCGUCCUGCAAUUCUACUAGAUUAAAGAGAAUGACUUAAUUCUGCAUUCUGCCGUCCCUAGUCCAAGUGGUACUAGAAUUGAUGUUUCCUUUAGUGUCCUUUCUUCAUACUUUCAGGUUCUUCCCUUGUUUCAAUAAUGCUGUUUUCCUUCAUGUUUAACCUCUGUUGAACCACUUAAAACAACACAAUUUGCACACCAAUGUUUCUUUACAGAAAAGACUGUUUGCAAAAAUGCACAUGUUAUAAGGUUAAUGGAAGAAUUAAUUUGGGGAUAAGGGACUAGGAUUGGGCCAAUGAAGUUUGGUGUUAAAUUUUGAUUAUGAUUGCUUUUCAUUAUCAGGUACCUUAUAUUUGCUGAUGCUAUCUGGAACUAAAUUCAAAUCAGACAUUAUCCGAUUACUAACAGGACAUAUCAUGUCCCUCUGCAGAGUUUCUAAACUAACAUGUAUCGAAAUGUGGCCCCAAAAGGAAGGCUAGGAAGAUGGAGGAUUUUGUAGGAAUCGACCAGAAUCAGAUGGAAGAGAGAUAGUCCUGUUGACUUUAAUGGUUGUGAUAGGAACAUGCAUCAUUAUAUGAGAAGUUGCAUGAAUUUAUGUAUCCUGUUAUCGUUCCUUGACGAUUUCCCAAUGCAAUUUCACUGUCCACAAGACUAACCUCUCCAUGCAGUCAAAUGAAUUGUAAUUUCUCUAUUGGUACCAGUAGUACAUUUCAUACCAAACAUAUAGUAAAUAUAAAAUAUAAAUAGAUCAAGGAAAUCUGAAUUGUAGAUAGCACUGCAAGUAACACUCAAUAUUCUCUAUAUAUAAUAAAAUAAACAGUGUCACAAUACUCAUCACCCAGUGGCAAGGGAGAAAAACCUACAAUGAGUACUCAAAUCACCAUUCUCAAACAGAAACAUAGCAGUGACUGAUACAUAGAACCUAUAUGCUCACAGGGAAAGAAUAAGAUGACCAGUGCACAGCGGGCAGCAGCUCUUAUUUUACGUACAACUCAAAUCCCAAACUAACCAAAGUCGCUCAGUUGGGAUGGGUGGGAGAUGGUGGUUUGUGGGAUGGCUUCUGGGUAGGAGCUGGUGGCUUCUGUCCCUUUGGUGGUUUGCCUAAUGAGCUUGGUGGCUUGUGCUCCGGGAGUUGUUUCUCUCCCUCGAGUAGGUUUCGAGUCUUGUCAGAUGGCUUGUGUUCUGGUGGUGGCUUCUCUCCCUGGGGUGGUUUGCCGAAUGGGCUUGGUGGCUUGUGUUCGGGGAGUGGCUUCUCUCCCUGGAGAAGGUUACGAGUUUUGUCAUAUGGCUUUUGUUCUGGUGGUGGCUUCUCUCCCUGGGGUGGUUUGCCGAAUGGGCUUGGUGGCUUGUGUUCGGGGAGUGGCUUCUCUCCCUGGAGAAGGUUACGAGUUUUGUCAGAUGGCUUGUGUUCUGGUGGUGGCUUCUCUCCCUGGGGUGGUUUGCCGAAUGGGCUUGGUGGCUUGUGUUCGGGGAGUGGCUUCUCUCCCUGGAGAAGGUUACGAGUUUUGUCAGAUGGCUUUUGUUCUGGUGGCGGCUUCUCUCCCUGGGGUGGUUUGCCAAAUGGGCUUGGUGGCUUGUGUUCGGGAACUGGCUUCUCUCCCUUGGGAGGUUCAGUUGGUGGCUGCUGUUCCGUAGGUGGUUUCUUCACCGGCGGCUUGUGCUCCGGAAGCGGCUUCUCUACCUGGAGAAGCUUACGAGUUUUGUCCGAUGGCUUGUGUUGUGGUGGUGGCUUCUCUCCCUGGGGUGGUUUGCCAAAUGGAGUUGGUGGCUUGUGUUCGGGGAGUGGCUUCUCUCCAUUGGGAGGUUUAGUUGGUGAUUGGUGUUCCGUAGGUGGUUUCUGAAGUGGGGGAUGCUUGGGGUAGUCAGCAAGAGACGAGGUAGUGAGAACCACCAGUCCCAGCAGCAACACUAGCAAGCAUGUGGAAGACAUCUUUGAGUUCAGGCUGAGAUCUGUGCAAGGAUAACAGAAUUAGGUGGCCUUUUAUAGAGGCCUGGACCCAACACCCAUAUGACACGUGUCAUGCACUCAUGGUGACACAUAAUUCUAUGGGACCAUUUGGGUCCUACAGAAGUUGCAAAGUUGGACUACUGAGGUGUGAUCACAACUUUUGUCCUUAUUGCUUUCUCUGCGGCCAUUGCACGAUUUCCUUUAGCAUCAUUUUCUUGGCUAAAUAAGCGUAUUAUAUUUGUGGCAGACCGUCCACGUGUCAUAAACAGAUAUAUUAUAAUAAUGUAGUAUGCUUUUCUCCAAUGGAACAUGACACUCUUCUAAGUCUUGUUUUAAAUAUUGUGCAGGAUUACUUUAUACGUUGCAGUUCCAAGUCAAAAUUGGUGGGCAAACGUUGGCCUUUUUUCAUUUCACCUAAGAUUAAUGCUCACCUGGGAUAGGCACUACAUGACUUAUCUGCUCUUUUACUGUAAAGUUGCUUUGUGUAUGAGAUACACCUCCCCUGCACACCCUCAACAUUCGUUGCUCUGUUUUCCUUGUGUCCAGACGAGGAUAUUAAUUGGAGGCUGACAAAACGACUGCUAGCCCAGGAUUUACAAGGUCCUGGUUUGAGGCUUCGGUGAAAGUAUUUUUGAAAAGACACACAUAGAGAUAGUGCGUUUGGUGCAAUGCAGCACUGUGAGCCAUUCUGACGCGUUCUUAAUUUCAAAACUAAUGAAUGCUUCAAAAUUUUAAGAAGUGACAUUUCCAAAUAUUUGAGUUCGUUUAAUUGAACAUUGGAUAACUAGUGAUCAUAGAUUAUUAUCUGUGCUUGGCACUAUAAGAGGGUAUAUGCUUCUUUUUCUGGCCCCUCCUUCAAGGGAGGAGGGACAAUGUGAUCUGUAACGUUAGAAGCUAUUCCAUGUCAUCUUUGGGCUCAGUUCAAAACUAAAAGAUAAUGGGGGGGGGGGGGGGGGGCAUAUCAUUUUAUAUUUCUUCUAGAAGGUUUGUUCUGGAAAUAUUUCACAGGAGCAUAUCUUUUUCUUCUAUUACGUCAUCCGCAGCCUCCAAUAGGUCGGUUAACAAGCCACCGAGUUGAAAAGUUGGAAAAAUGGGAACACAGCCCGCCUCUUGUAUUCAGUAGUUAAAUAAAAGGUCACUAGAAGUGAGAUCCCUUUUGGCGUCUUGAUUUUCAAUCCAGCACCUCUGUGACCUGACAAACCAAAAAAACUAAAAAAUAAAAAACAGUACGUGGGUUGGUGUUAAGCAUCAAGACAUGUUAAUGAAAGAAGGUAGAGAAUAGGAUAUUGAAAUCCCAAUCCUGAUAACAUGAUUUUCUUUGCUAACAACCAUAUUAUAUUUUAUCAAGAAAGAGUAAUGCAUGUGGCGUCCAUCAAGACCCAUUAGAGUUCCGCUAAAGCUAUAGUUCUGUCAACGUUAUCAUUUACGUUUCCUCUAGAUAAUGGCAUUUUCCUCUAAAGCUCUUGCACCAUUAGGCUUCAAGUCAAAAUUUCACAUGUGAACUUUGGAAAUUUUCUCCAUUUGCCCCUAAGGAUACAGUUAGAAUUGACUUAAAAUCCUGAUUGAUAUGUACUAUUAACCAAAGAAUAUUGUAUAUAAUAAUUGAAAUAUUGUUGAUUCAUCGUGGAAAUACAUUUUGUAAGGAAAGUUGUUGAGAAUUUAGUAUGCUAUAUGGAGAAAAAAGUCAUGACUUAAGGUUGUGUAUGUAUAUUCUAUAUCAAAUAUUAGGUAGGAAUGUGGGAAAGAGCAGAGUGUAAUGAUAAGAAACAAAGAAAUAUAAGAUAUUCUUGAAAGUGGAAAAUAUAAAAUGGCUAACGAGUCAAAUUUAUGAUGCGUAAGGGGGAUCAUGUCACAUAAGAAAACCAUGGCAUACUAAAGACGUACGUGUGGUAUGGAGUAAUAAUUUUGUUAAAAUAAGUUUCUUGUUGGAGUACAUUAGGUGACUAUUCAUAACGUAUCAAAUUAAAGAGUCAAGUGCAUCAAUGAAGGCAUAUGUAGAAAAUUUGUUUGUGACAUGUACCAUAAAGAUAAGAUUGACUUGAUAGAAUUUAGUCUAAGUAGGAGUUGUUAAAGGUGUCUUAAAUUUCUAAUUGAUGUAUAUUUUUUUCUAAAAAAAUAUUAUAUAGAUAUUUUAAUAAAUGAUUAAUUCUUUGUAAAAAUACUUACAUAAUAAAAAACAUCAUUAAAAAUAUCUUUAUAAAUAUUUUAAGUUACAAGAAGGAAAAAAACCACUGUGAGAUAAUGAUGAACAUGCAACACUGUACCAAGUAAAUAAAAAUGUGAUAAAAAAAAAAGAGAAACACUCGAUAAAGGAAGGCUCGUAUAUAAAGAGUAAUAUUUUUAAUCAUAUGAUAGAAUGAUUUUCUCUCAUUCAUGAAUAUAGGCAAGAUUGGGGAACCAUUAUAAAAUUUUGUACACCUCGUGUAAAUUGAUGUUUGUCUUCAUAUUUUACACCAACAAAUGACAUUGAAGUUGUCAUUGAUAAAAGGGAAAAGGCAUGCCUCCACACCAUGUGCUUGAUUCGAAUGGUUCAAGUUUGAAGAAUUUUCUCCGGAAGAUCUAAAACAUUUUCGCCUUUAAAUUUCAUUUGAUUAUUAAUAUCCGAAAAAAUAGUUAAAUACUCUUUCUAUUUUUGAGUUGUUGAAUUUUUUGAAAGUUUUUAUAUUUGUUAUCAAGAAUUUCUAUUUUAUUAAGGGUGAAUAUUUAUAAAUAAGAUAUUAUAUAAUAUUUGGAUAAGAGAGAAUGGUGGAAUAUAAUAAAGUUUUAAUCCUUCCCAAUUUUGAACCUUUUUUUUUUUUUUUGAUAUAAUCGCCUUUCUCUUGCAAUCCUAUUAUCAGGUACCUUAUAUUUGCUGAUGCUAUCUGGAACUAAAUUCCAAUCAGGCAUUGUCCAAUUACUAAUAGGACAGAUCAUAUCUCUCUGUUUCUAAACUAACAUGUAUCGUAAUGUGACCUCAUAAGGAAGGCUAGGAAGAUGGAGGAUUUUGUGGGAAGCGACCAGAAUCAGAUGGAAGAGAGAUAGCCCUGUUGACCUAAUGGCUGUAAUAGGAGAAGCGUGUGGUUUUAUGGGACUUAACUGAUACUAAACCUGUAUGAUGCUUGGAGUGGUGUUUCUUUCAUUUUGUUAAGAAAAUAUGGCAGCAUACAUGCUUUCAACUGAGUGCAUCAGAGCAUCCAUAACAGAUGGUCUGCAACCCUAGGUGCAUGCCACUUUCUGACUGAUAAUGAAAUUGUCAGGUACCUGGCCUUGACUAAGCUCAACAGCAUCACAUAAAGAGAAGCUUUCAUACUUAGAUUACUGUUUAAAGUUUUUGCUUAUUUGAUUUCUUAAUGCCAUUAUGACAUUAUUGAUUCAAUUCUGCUUCCGAUUUUCGAAGUUCUGGGCAUCUACUGAUUGCAUCAUUAUAUGAGAAGUUGCAUGAGUUUAUGUAUCCUGUUAUUGUUCCUUUGCGAUUUCACUGCUCACGGGACUAACCUCUCCAUUCAGUCGAAAUGAAUUGUAAUUUCUUUACUGGUAGCAGUAGUACUUUUCAUAGCAAAGAUAAUAGAAAAUAUGAAAUAUAAAUAGAAGGAAAUCUGGAUUGUAGAUAGCACCAUAAGUAACACUCAAUAUUCACUACAUAAUAAAUAGACAGUGUUACAUAGGUAGAGAAACCUACAAUGAGUACUCAUCACCAUUCUCAAACAGAAACAUAGCAGCGACUUAUACAUAGAACCUAUAGGCUCGCAGGGAAAGAGUAACAUGAUAAGUUCACAGCGGGUAGCAGCUCUUAUUUUACGUAUUACUCAAAAUCUCAAACUAACCAAAGUCACUCAGUUGGGAUGGGUAGGAGAUGGUGGUUUGUGGGGUGGCUUCUGGGUAGGAGCUGGUGGCUUCUUUGUUGGAGUUGAAGGAGGCAUAUUCUUCUGAGGUGGCUUGUAUGACUCUUCGGCACUCUCUGCAGGAGGGUGCCCAGGGUUGUGACCAGAAGGAGGUGGCUUCUGUCCCUUUGGUGGUUUGCCUAAUGGGCUUGGUGGCUUGUGCUCCGGGAGUUGUUUCUCUCCCUCGAGUAGGUUUCGAGUUUUGUCAGAUGGCUUGUGUUCUGGUGGUGGCUUCUCUCCCUGGGGUGGUUUGCCGAAUGGGCUUGGUGGCUUGUGUUCGGGGAGUGGCUUCUCUCCCUGGAGAAGGUUACGAGUUUUGUCAGAUGGCUUUUGUUCUGGUGGCGGCUUCUCUCCCUGGGGUGGUUUGCCAAAUGGGCUUGGUGGCUUGUGUUCGGGAACUGGCUUCUCUCCCUUGGGAGGUUCAUUUGGUGGCUGGUGUUCCGUAGGUGGUUCCUUCACCGGCGGCUUGUGCUCCGGAAGCGGCUUCUCUACCUGGAGAAGCUUACGAGUUUUGUCAGAUGGCUUGUGUUGUGGUGGUGGCUUCUCUCCCGGGGGUGGUUUGCCAAAUGGACUUGGUGGCUUGUGUUCGGGGAGUGGCUUCUCUCCAUGGGGAGGUUUAGUUGGUGGUUGGUGUUGCGUAGGUGGUUUCUGAAGUGGGGGAUGCUUGGGGUAGUCAGCAAUAGACGAGGUAGUGAGAACCACCAGUCCCAACAGCAACACUAGCAAGGAUGUUGAAGACAUCUUUGAGUUCAGGCUGAGAUCUGUGCAAGGAUAAAAGAUUUAGGUGGCCUUUUAUAGAGGGCUGGACCCAACACCCAUAUGACACGUGUCAUGCACUCAUGGUGACACAUAAUUCUAUGGGACCAUUUGGGUCCUACAGAAGUUGCAAAGUUGGACUAUUGAGGUGUGAUCACAACUUUUGUCCUACUUGCUUUCUCUGCGGCCAUUGCACGAUUUCCUUUAGCAUCAUUUUCUUGUCUAAAUAAGCGUAUUAUAUUUGUGGCAGACCGUCCACGUGUCAUAAACAGAUAUAUUAUAAUAAUGUAGUAUGCUUUUCUUCAACGGAACUUGACACUCUUCUAAGUCUUGUUUUAAAUACUGUGCAGGAUUACGUCAUAAGUUGCUUGUUCCAAGUCAAAAUUGGUGGGCAAACGUUGGCCUUUUUUCAUUUUCCCUAAUAUUAAUGCUCACCUGGGAUAGGCACUACAUGAUUUAUCUGCUCUUUUACUGUGAAGUUGCUUUGUGCAUGAGUUACACCUCCCCUGCACACCCUCAACAUUUGUUGCUCUGUUUUUCUUGUGUCCAGACGAGGAUAUUAAUUGGAGGCUGACAAAACGACUGCUAGCCAAGGAUUUACAAGGUCCUGGUUUGAGGCUUUCACGAAAGUAUUUUUGAAAAGAUACACAUAGAGAUUGCGCGUUCGGUGCAAUGCAACAAUGUGAGCCAUUCUGAAGUCUUAAAUUUCAGAUUAAUGAAUGCUACAAAAUUCUAAGAAGGGCCGUUUCCAAAUAUUUGAGUUCAUUCAUCCGAACAUCGGGUAUAUGCUUCUUUCUCUAGCCCCUCCUUGAAGGGAGGAGGGACAAUGUGAUCUGUAUCGUUAGAAGCUAUUCCAUGUCGUCAUCUUUGGGCUCAGUUCAAUACUAAAAGAUAUGGGCGGGGCCCUUAUCAUUUUAUAUUUCUUCUAGAAGGUUUAUUCUGGAAAUCUUUCACAGAAACAUAUCUUUUUCUUCUCUACGUGAUCCGUGGUUUGAAAGUUGGAAAAAUGGGUCCGUUAACAAGCCACCGAGUUGAAAAGUUGGAAAAAUGGCAACACCGCCAACCUCUUGUAUUCGAUAGUUAAAUAAAAGGUCACUGGAAGUGAGAUCCCUUUUGGCCUCUUGAUUUUCAUUCCAGCAUCUCUAUGGCCUGAUAAAUUAAAAAACUAAAAAAAAAGACAGUACGUGGGUUGGUGUUAAGCAUCAAGAGUCAAGACAUGAUAAUGGAGAGAAAGGAUAUUCAAAUUCCAGUUCUGACAACAUGAUUUUCUUUGCUGAACUACCAUAUUAUAUUUGAUCAAGAAAGAGUAGUGCAUGUGGCCAGGAUCAAGACAUACAUUAAUUUCCACAUGAUGAAGACAGUUUCUGAGAGUUUCUUCUAAAGCUCUUGCGCGAGUAGGCUUCAAGUCAAAAUCUCCCAUGUAAACACUGGUUUUUCUUUCAUUGCCACUAAGGAUGCAGUUAAUAUUGACUUAAGAUCCUACGUGAUAUAUUUUUUUAAAAGAGCUAUAUUGUAGAUAAUAUUUGAAAUAAUGUUGAUUCGUUGUGGAAAUAUAUUUGUAAGGAAAGUUGUUGACAAUUUAAUAUAGUAUAAGAAGAAAAAAGUUAUCAACUAGCUAGAGAUGAGUAUGUAAAGUGAGGCUCACGAUUCAACGCGUAAAUAUAAGAUAUUUUAAGGCUCAAUAGUUAUGAUAUCUAUUUUAUUUUUUGUAUCUCAUAUAUUCAAAGAUAUAGUAAAAUGAUUUUACAUAUAUAUAUAUAUAUAUAUAUGAACAUAACUAUUUGUGCCAAUUGAUUUUUAUCUUUAUUUUGUAUAUUAGUAAUUAUAUUAAAGUUUUUACUAAUAUAAUAACUAAUAUAAAAGCUUUUUCUAAAAGAGUCAACAGAGCAAAACACUUAUUAUAAAAAAUAAUUUUGAUUGAAGGUGGAGUCAAUUAUUCUUUAUUUAACAUGUAAUGCAUACGGCGUGUACUUCAUAACUAAAGUAUAUAAGUGUAACAUCUCUUAUAUAUUCUCAUUCAAUCUCGAAAGUGGAAAUUUUAAAAAGAUUAAACGGUUCAAAUUUGUCGUGCAUAAAGGGGAUCAUGUCACAUAAGCAAACCAUGGCAUACCAAAGACAUAGGUAUGGACUAAGAAUUUUUUUCAAAUAAGUUUCUUAUUAGGGUACAUUAAUAGGUGACUUUUUAUGACAUAUCAAAGGAGUCAAGUGCACCAAUAAAAACAUAUAUAGAAAAUUCAUGCAUGACAUGUAUCACUAAGAGAAGAUUGACUUGAUAGAGUUUAAUCCAAAUAGGAGAUUGUUAAAAGGUGUCUCAAAUUCUUGAUUGAUAUAUAUUUUUUUUAUUAAAAAGGUUAUUAUAUAGAUAUUUCAAUAGACUAUUAAUUCUUUGUAAAAAUAGUUAUAUAAUGAGGAUGGUGAUUAAAAAUAUCUCUAUCAAUAUUUUGGAUUAUAAAAAGAAAAAAAAUGAGAUAAUGAUAAACAUAUAAAACUUGUACAAGUAGAUAAAGAUGUGAUGAAAGACACUUGAUGAAUGAAGGCUUUGUAUUUCAAGAUAUAAAUAUAUGGAGCAAAACUCUUAAUUAUAUGAUCAAAUGAUUCUCUCAUAUUCAUGAAUAUAAGCAGGAUUGGGGAACCAUGAUAGAAUCUUAUAUGCCUCUCCAUGUAGAGUGAUCGAUGUUUAUCUUCAUAUUUUACACCAGUGAAUGACAUUGAAACUCUUAUUGAUAAAAGGGAAAAGGCAUGGCCUCCACCCCAAGAAAAACAAGUAACCUCGGUUUAAAUCACUAGUCUACACCCCGAAGAGAGAACUAGCCAAACCUACUAAAAGAGAAACUUAACAAUUUAGAAAGAAACCGUCCAUGAUAAAGGGCCCCUAAAGGUCCAAUUCAGUGAGGUCGUGAACAAAAACACUUUCAUGUCAAAACAGAGAUAGGUACCACCAAAAUGUAAAGGGAAAGAUGUAAACCACGUCGAACUUUGGUAAUCAAUGGUAAAGAUAGCAUGAUAGCUAAAAGCACUAAAGCUGUGCUUGGUAUGCAAAAAUGAAAAGUGGAAAUCAGCGUCUUAUUCUUUUUCACCUUUAUUCACAUAUUAGGAUAACUAAUAUCUAAUGUUUUUUAUGUCUCAAAUUCUAUUCCAUGUUAUGGUAAACUUUCAUCUUGUUUAGAUCACUUUUGUCUGGUUUGGGCUCAAGACGAUAAGCCUAUAGAGACUUCAUAUUGGGUUGAAUCGAUGCCCUUGAUCUGAUCUGUUCGUUAGAAAAAUCUGAAUUAUUAUAAGCAUUUAGAUAAAAAAUAAAUAAAUGUGAAACACAAACUACUCCCUGCACAACCUUGACCCUAGUUACUCAGUUUCACUGCUCACAGGACUAACCUCUCCAUUCAGUCGAAAUGAAUUGUAACAAGAAGAUUUUUGACAGGAGGACGGUAGUUUAAAAUAAUAAUUUCUAAAGUACUUUUGUGAAAAAAAAUAAUUCCAAACGUGGAUUUUAUCAAGUAAAAAGAAAAAAAAAAGUUAUUUUCUUUUAAAAUCUGUUCUUCUAAAGAUGAUAUAUAUACCAAAAAAAAAAAUUGUUUUCUGAAGGUAAAAUUUUUAAAAUUCAUUUUUAAAAAAAUUUACACACUAAAAUUAUCUUUUCAAGAGAAGAUUUUUUUAAUUUUAAAUAAUUAUUAAUUUAUAAUUAAUUUGUUAUUAAUUAUUUAUUAAUUUUUUUAUUUGAAAAAUGCAUUUAUAAAAAACAAAUUUGUUAUUAAUUUAUUAAAUAAUUUUUACAAAAUAAAUAAUUUUUUUUUAUUUUAAUUUUAAAAUUAAUUUUAUUAUAUAAAUUUUAAAAUUAAAAAUAUUAAUAUUUAAUUUAAAAUUUAACUAUAAAAGGAAUAAAAUAUAGAAAAAUAAAUUAAUUUAUUAUUCAAUAAAUUAAUUUUCAAUAAAAUUUUCAGCAUUAAGAGAUAAAUUUUUAAGUAUUAAUCAAUUUAAAAAGAAAUAAUGAUCAUUUGUAUAUUAAGAUAUUUUAUUUAGUAAUUAUGAAUGAUAAACAACUAAAGUAAUUUGAAAAAAUAAUAAAAUAUUUAAAAAAUAAUAAUUUAAUACACGUAAAAUUAGAAAUGAUUAACUAUUUUUUAUUAAGAAAAAAUUGAGGAAAUAUUUUGUUAUUUAAAAUUUUUUAUUUGUUUUCAAUUUUUAAUGUUAUAGGUUUCAAGAAAAUUGAUCAAAUAAAAAUUAAGAAGUCAUUUUUUCAAAAACUAUAUAUCUAAAUAAAAGCCUUGAAAUUCAAAUACACAAUAUCAUAAAUAUAAACACCAAGUCAAUCCUUAAUUAUCAAAUGUUUUUAAUAUUAAAGAAUCAAAAUCACCUACUAUCAUGAUAAUAAGAAAACCAAUAAUAUUGUUCAUAUAAAUACUAAAAAGCUAACAAAUAUCCCAAACAAUUAAUAAAGUAUCAAACAUGAUAAAAAGUCAAUUAUUAUCAUGAAUGCAAAAAAUCAAUAAUUUUGUUUAUAUGAACCAUCAACAAAGAAAAAAAAAAUCAAUAUCUAAAUAUUAAACAUAAUUUAUAUUUUUAUAAAUAUUAUUGUUGAUAAAUAUCUUAACAAUUAUAAUUUUAGUAAAUAAAAUUAAUUAAUUUUAGUUUAAGAAUUAUUUUUUUAUACUUUCGUAUUCUUAUCAAAAAUCCCCAUUUUGCAUGUCUCCUUUGGCAUGACUUUCUUACCUAAACAAGCAUAUAUAUAUAUAUAUAUAUAUAAAAUAUUUGGUUAAGAAAGAGUACUAAAGUUUAUAUGGCACACAUCAAGAUAGAAACAGAAGUGGAAGAUAAUCCAAAUGUAUGAACAGAUAUAUUAUAUCCAUGUAGUGGUAGUGACUUCAUUAUUUACUUUUAUCUAAUGGAGCAUGACACACUUCUUCUGAAUAUUUUGCACGAUUAUGUUAUGUGUCAGCUUGUUCUAAGUCAAAACUAGUGAUAAAAAUCGGUUUUUUUUGCAUUUCCUUCAUGAAGAUGGCACCUGGAUGGGGCACUACAUGAGUGGCAUAGCACGAAGUGAUUUAUCUGCUCCCUUUACUAUAAAGUGCUUUGUGUAUAAGUUACACCUCCCCUGCACUGCCUCAACAUUUGUUGUUCUGUCUUCCGUCUGUCCAAACGAGGACAAACGUAUGUUGUAGGUUGACAAAACCACAGCUAGCCUAGGAUUUGCAAGGAUCUAGUUUGAUUCGUAUGCAAAAGGAUUGGUGAAAAGAUUCACAAAGAUAAUGCUUUUUGCAAUGCAAUCUUGUUCUAAUUCAACAGUGUGGACCAUUUUCAUGUAAUGCUUCAACUAGAUGUCAGUUUCAUGAAUUUUUGUUCAUCUAAUUGAUCACUGGAUAGGCCAUAACCCGAAGAAAUUCAAAAUUCCCUUCAGUACUGUAGCUAAGGAAAGAUCCCUAUCUACCACUGGGAUUUUAAGAGGGUAAAAAUGUAGGUGGGUGCCUAUAUCAUUUGCACUUCACUAUAGGCCUCUUUGGGAAGAUUUCUUCUGAAGACAUUUCAAAGAAACAUAUUUUUCUCUUCUCUCCGUAAACGGCAGCUGCAAGUCAGUCCAUUCACAGGCCACCGAGUUGAAAAGGCUGGAAAAUUGGCCAAAGCACCCGCCUCCUGGAUUCCAUGGGUAAGGAAAAGGUCACUGGAGGUGUGAUCCCUGUUGGCCUCUUGAUUUCCAUUCCGCCAUCUAUAUGACCUGAUAACCCAAAAACACAGAAGGAAAACGUCACCUGGGUUCAUAGUAAGCAUCAAGUCAUGAUAGAGACCAGACAACAUGACCAACAAAGAGUAGCGAAUGGGGCCAACAUCAAGCCCCAUUACGGUUAGAAGAUGGAAGAAGUAGAAGACAAUCCAAUUCUGAUAGAUUCGGGCAAAUGUAGUGCUGUUCAAACUUAAUCAUUUACUAUUUCUUCAUGAAUCACGGCAUUUUUCUUCUGAAAAUUUUCCAAGAUUAGGCCUCUGAAGAAAAAUUUCAUAUGUAAAUUGGUAUAUUAAGGAAAAGGCGUUACAAAGGUGAAAAAAAACCAAUCAAAUCUUAUAUAUGACAUCUCAAAAAUAUGAACUUGCUAUAAAUAUUUAAAAUCAAAAUCUUGCACAUCACCUCGUAGUACGAACUUGCUAUAAAACUUGAAAAUCAAGAAGAAAGGGGCAGUAUUGGACGAGACUACUUAGCACAUAUUAUUAUGAUGUUUUUUCAUUUUCUUAAUGUUGUUUUUAUGUCUUAAAUUCUAUUAUUCUAUGUUACGGUAAACAUUCAUCUUGUUUGUGUGGAAUAGGAUCACUUUUCUCUGGGUUGAGUCGAUGCCCUUAGUUAAUUUGUUCAUUUGAAUAAACUAAAUUAUUAUAAGUAUUUAGAUAAGAAAAACGUGAUACAUAAAUUACGCCUCUCGGCACAACUUCAACACUGGUUACUCUGUUUCAGUUUCCUCACACAAGAUUAUUGGUUCUAGGGUUUAUUUGGUUUUGGUUUGAUUCUAAUUGCUAAACUUUCUCAAGGAAGAUGUUAUAUAGGGAGUGAGAAACCUUCACUCUUGGCUACCUCCAAGAGAAGAGCAAGUGGUCUGAAUCAAAGAUAUACUGCUCACUUUUUCUUCUUCUAAGGACAGCUAUGACCUUGCUUUAAGGUUCGAAUAGCCUAAUGCAACCUCCCAUUUCUCAAGUCAGCUGAUGAUGUAAGUCACCUUGGCUUUCCACAUUCAUACGGUGAGGACGUUUGUGGGUGUAAUUCUCUUAACAGUUUUCAUUUUAUAUGGAAAAAUUCAUAAUUAAGGGUAAUUACUGAUUCCAUUUGACAGUGACCAAGUUUAAAAUAUUAAUUCAUAUAUUAAAUGCACAUUAAAAAAUCAUGGAAUAAAUAUAUUUACUAAUAUAUAGUUCUUUUGCCAUGUUCUGUCACAGAAGCAUCGAACUUUCCCUAGAAAUUUUUGCAUGGUAUUCUACUUAUGAUUUUGAAAACUCUAGGCACCUGAGGCCACUAAUUGCAUGGUUGGAUGAGGAGCUGCAUGAGAUUAUGUAUCGUGUUGUUCCUUAACUACAAAUAUCAGUUUUAAGUAGCAUCUCCAUGUGACAUUUUCCUGAUGCAAUUUCGCUGUCCACCAACAAAUUUCACCAUGCAGCAAGAUGAAUUGUAAUUUCUUUAUUGUUAUCAACAGCUUUAAUUAAUCUUGAUAUAUAUAUAUAACUUAGUAGAAGUAUAUUAAUCUAGAUUGUAGUUGCACUAAGAUAAUAGGCAAUAUUAUAACAGUGCCACAAUGCUCAUCGCCAAAUAGAAAGGUAGAAAAACUACAAUGAGUAACUCACAACAUUCUCAAACAGGACAUAGCGGCGACUGAUACAUAGAACACUAUUGGCACUCAGGAAAUGAUAAGAUCAGUGCCCAGCAGGCAGCACGUCUUAUUUUACAUACUACUUAAAACUAACCAAAGUCAUUCAGUUGGGAUGGGUGGGAGAUGGUGGUUUGUGCGGUGGCUUUUGGGUAGUUGGUGGCUUCUUUCCUGGAACUGAUGGUUUUUUUGUUGGAGUUGAAGGAGGCUUAAUCGUCUGAGGUGGCUUGUAUGAGUCUUCAGCACUCUCUGCGGGAGGGUGCCCAGGGUUGUGACCAUAAUGGGGUGGCUUCUCUCCCUUAGUUGGUUUGCCAAGUGGGCUGGCUGGCUUGUGCUCCGGGAGCGGCUUCUCUCCCUUAGGUGGUUUGCCAAAUGGGCUUGCUGGCUUGUGCUCUGGGAGCGGCUUCUCUCCCUCAAGAAGUUUACGGGUUUUGUCAGAUGGCUUGUGUUCUGGUGGUGGCUUCUCUCCUUGGGGUGGUUUGCCAAAUGGACUUGGUGGCUUGUGUUCGGGGAGUGGCUCCUCUCCCUUGGGAGGUUUAGUUGGUGGCUGGUGUUCCAUAGGUGGUUUCUCAACCGGGGGCUUGUUCUCCGUUGGUGGUUUAUGAACUGGGGGAUGCUUGGGGUAGUCAGCAAGAGACGGGGUGGUGAGAACCACCAGUCCCAGCAGCAACACUAGCAAGUAUGUGGAAGAGUACAUCUUUGAGUUCAGGCUGAGAUUUGUGCGAGACUUGAAGAAUUAGGUGGCCUUUUAUAGCUGGCUGCACCCAACACUCACAUGACACGUAUCAUGGUGACACAUGUGCUAUGGGUCCAUUUGGGUCCUACAGAAGCUGAAAACUUUUGACUAUUGAGGUGUGGUCACAACUUUUGUCCCUAUUGCUUUCUCCGCAACCGUUUUACAUGUUUCCUUUGGCAUAAUUUUCUAAGCUAAACAAGCAUAUAUCAUAUUUGGUUAAGAAAGAGUAAAGUGUAUAUGGCACACAUCAAGGAAGAGAAACAGAAAAAGUGGGAGACAAUCAAUUGUGAUAAACAGAUAUAUUAUAUUCAUGUAGUACUAGUGACUUUAUCAUUUACUUUUAUCCAAUAGAUCAUCACUCUUUCUUCUAAAUAUUUUGGAGGAUAAUGGUACAUGUUGCUUGUUUCCAAGUCAAAAUUGGUGGCAAAAAUCGGCAUGAUACGAAAGGAUUGGUGAAAAGAUUCACAUAGAUGGUGCUUUGUGCAAUGCAGUCUUGCUCUAAUUCAACAGAGUGGACCAUGGUGAUGUAUUUUAAAUUUUAAAUUUUAAAUUAAUGCAUGCUUCAAAGUUUUAACUAGAUGUCACUUCCAUGGAUUUUUGUUCAUUUAAUUGAGCACAGGAUAGGCUAUCAAACUUGAAGUAAUAUAAAAAUCCCUUCAUUACUGUAACUAAUGAAAGAUCAUUAUCUGCGCUUGGUAUUUUGCCAAGGUAUUUGCUGCUCUUUCUAGCCCUGUCUUACAGUUAAGGACAAUGUGAUCUAGUUAACCUUAGAAGCUAUUCCAUGUCAGAUACAAGAGAUCAAGCACAUUAUCUUUGGGCUCAGUUCAAAACUAUAAUAUAUGGGUGGGGUGGAGGCCCAUAUCAUUUGCAUAUCACCACUAUUGGUUUAGUUUGGAAGGUUUCUUCUGGAAGAUUGCUGCUUUCUGGAAUCAUUUCAAAGAAAUAUAUCUUUUUGUUCUCUUGGUGACGAGCAGCGGCAAUCAAGUCUGUUGACAAACAACCGAGUUGAAAAGUUUGAAAAUUGGUCACAGCCCACGUCCAUGGUUAAGGAAAAGGUCACUGGAAGUGAUCCCUUCUGGGCCUCUUGAUUUCCAUUCUGACAUCUAUAUGACCUGAUAAAUAGAAAGAAAAAAAAACAGAAGAAAAGCGGCACCCGGGUUCAUAGUAAGCAUCAAGACAGGAUACUGAAAGAAGGGAGAAAGGAGAUUGCAAGUCCAAUCCUGAUAAAAUGAUCAACAAAGAGUAUCAAAAUGGGGCCAACAUAAAGACCCAUUGAGGUUAGCAGAUGGCAUGGCAUUUUUCUCCUUAAGUUUUCCAUGAUUAGACUUGAAGUCAAAAUUUCACAUGUAAAUUUGUAUUUCUACAUUUCCCACUGACGACACCCAACUUCAACUUGAGUUAGAAUAACAUUGUGUGAACUUAUCUGGCCCUCAAAAUUUACUGUGAAGUGCUUUCUGCGUGUGAAGAUUCAGAAAAGCACCAAGGGAACAUGUAUGGUCUGCCUUUUUCUGAUGUUAUGUUUGUCUCUAAUUCUGUUCCAUGUCAUGGUAAAUGUUCACAUUGCUUGUAUGGAACACACCAGGAUCACUUUUUCGGGUUUAUUUUGAGGCUUCAUAUUGGGUUCAUAUUGGGUUCAAUGCUUUUAAUGUGUUCAUUAGACAAAUCUGAAUUAUCAUAUGCAUUUAGAUAAGAACAAUAAUGUGAAACCCUAGUUACACCUCCCCUGCAUAACCCCAACCCUGCUUACUCUAUUUCAGUUUACUCACACAAGUUUUACCGGUUCUUAUAAGUCAAGAAAAGGCAACUGAUGUUGGAUUGACUCUCUUCCAUGUAUAAAAAGCAACUUUUAUAUAUACAUAAAAUAACUUCUUCCCCUCACCAAUGUGGGAUAUCAUGGAUUUAUUCUGGAAACACAUCAAAGGAACAUCUUUUCUCUUGGGUGACCCUAAGUGGUGAGUCAGACCAUUUGCAUGCCAUUGAGUUGCACAGUUGGAUAAAUGCACCUACCUCCUGGGCUCCAGAGUUAAAAGGGUGGAUCCCUGGAUCGCAACCCUCUUGGCAUCUUGGUUUCCAUUCCAACAUCCACAUGACUUGACAAAACAAAAAACAGAAUAAAAUCAUCACUAUUUUCAUGCUAAGCACCAAUACAUGAUGGAAAUCAUUGCUUAAAGAUUUGGGGUCAUUUAGGUUUUGACUGCCUCCUAACACCUCACCUAAUCACAAGUUUUUAUGCUUACAAAUCAAAUAUCGUUCUUCAUUAUAUUAAAAUCAUUUUAAGAUUUCAGAUCCAUCUGCUAAUUAUGAUUAUGAUAACAUUAAUUCACCUGUGCUUCUCAUUUUCGACACACAAGGCAUCUAGGUUUGCAGGAUUUCCUUAUUAGAUGAGAUAAAUGAGUACGCAUGGUUAUGUAUGCAGCAUUCAUUAACCAUGGUAUGUGACAUUUAGAAUUAAGAUAGCAAGCAAACUUUCCCUGCAGCUUGAGUAAAUUGUGAUUUCUUAGCCUCUAUGAGUGGUUCCCAAAUCAAAUUAACAUAGUGAAAUAUACGUAGUCCAGUGAAAGGAAAUGUAAAUUAUAAACUAACAGCACUACACUACUGGUAACACUCGAUACUCUCUAUAUAAUGCAAUGAAAUAUACGUUAUACGUUGCUUGUUCCAAGUCAAAAUUUGUGGCCAAACGUUGGCCUUUUUUCAUUUUCCCUAAGAUUAAUGCUCACCUGGGAUAGGCACUACAUGAUUUAUCUGCUCUUUUACUGUAAAGUUGCUUUGUGUAUGAGUUACACCUCCCCUGCACACCCUCAACAUUUGUUGCUCUGUUUUCCUUGUGUCCAGACGAGGAUAUUAAGUGGGGGCUGACAAAACGACUGCUAGCCAAGGAUUUACAAGGUCCUGGUUUGACGCUUCCGCGAAAGUAUUUUUGAAAAUAUACACAUAGAGAUUGCGCGUUCGGUGCAAUGCAACAAUGUGAGCCAUUCUGAAGUUUUUAAUUUCAGAUUAAUGAAUGCUACAAAAUUCUAAGAAGGGCCGUUUCCAAAUAUUUGAGUUCAUUUAUCCGAACAUCGGAUAAGUAAUGAUCAUAGAUUAUUAUUAUUAUCUGACGUUCUUAUAAUGGUUGGCAUUAUAAGAGGGUAUAUGCUUCUUUCUCUAGCCCCUCCUUCAAGGGAGGGACAAUGUGAUCUGUAUCGUUAGAAGCUAUUCCAUGUCGUCAUCUUUUGGCUUAAGUCAAUACUAAAAUAUAUGGGCGGGGCCCCUGUCAUUUUAUAUUUCUUCUAGAAGGUUUGUUCUGGAAAUCUUUCACCGAAACAUAUCUUUUUCUUCUCUACGUGAUCCGUGGUUGGAAAGUUAGAAAAAUGGGUCCGUUCACAAGCCACCGAGUUGAAAAGUUGGAAAAAUGGCAACACCGCCAACCUCUUGUAUUCGAUAGUUAAAUAAAAGGUCACUGGAAGUGAGAUCCCUUUUGGCCUCUUGAUUUUCAUCCCAGCAUCUCUAUGUCCUGAUAAACUAAAAAACUAAAAAAAAAACAGUACGUGGGUUGGUGUUAAGCAUCAAGAGUCAAGACAUGAUAAUGGAGAGAAAGGAUAUUCAAAUUCCAGUUCUGACAACAUGAUUUUCUUUCCUGAACAACCAUGUUAUAUUUGAUCAAGAAAGAGUAGUGCAUGUGGCCAGGAUCAAGACAUACAUUAAUUUCCACAUGAUGAAGACAGUUUCUGAGAGUUUCUUCUAAAGCUCUUGCGCUAGUAGGCUUCAAGUCAAAAUUUCCCAUGUAAACACUGGAUUUUCUUUAAUUGCCACUAAGGAUACAGUUAAAAUUGACUUAAAAUCCUACGUGAUAUAUAUCUUUAACAAAAGUAUAUUGUAUAUAAUAUUUGAAAUAAUGUUGAUUCGUUGUGGAAAUAUGUUUGUAAGGAAAGUUGUUGACAAUUUAAUAUAGUAUAAGAAGAAAAAAGUUAUCAACUAGAGAUGAGUAUGUAAAGUGAGGCUCACGAUUCAACGCGUAAAUAUAAGAUAUUUUAAGGCUCAAUAGUUAUGAUAUCUAUUUUAUUUUUUGUAUCCCAUAUAUUCAAAGAUACAGUAAAAUGAUUUUAUAUAUAUGAACAUAGCCGAUAGUAUCAUGUUAAAACCUUAUAUGACUCUUUGUGCCAAUUGAUUUUUAUCUUUAUUUUGUGUAUUAGUAAUUAGUAUUAAAGUUUUUACUAACAUAAUAAUUGAUAUAAAAGCUUUUUCCAAAAGAGUCAAACAGAGCAAAACACUUAUUAUAAAAAGAAUUUUGAUUGAAGGUGGAGUCAAUUAUUCUUUAUUCAACAUGUGAUGCAUACAGCGGGUACUUCAUAACUAAAGUAUAUAAGUGCAACAUCUCUUAUACAUUCUCAUUCAAUCUCGAAAGUGGAAAAUUUUAAAAGAUUAAAUGGUUCAAAUUUUCCGUGCAUAAAGGGGAUCAUGUCACAUAACCAAACCAUGGCAUACCAAAGCCAUGAUAUGGACUAAGAAUUUUGUUAAAAUAAGUUUCUUAUUAGGGCACAUUAUGUGACUAUUUAUGACAUAUCAAAGGAGUCAAGUGCAUCAAUAAAGACAUAGAAAAUUCAUGCAUCACAUGUACCACUAAGAGAAAAUUGACUUGAUAGAGUUUAGUCCAAAUAGGAGAUUGUUAAAAGGUGCAUCAAAUUCUUGAUUGAUAUAUAUUUUUUUUAUUAGAAAGGUUAUUAUAUAGAUAUUUCAAUAGACUAUUAAUCCUUUGUAAAAAUAGUUAUAUAAUGAGGAUGGUGAUUAAAAAUAUCUCUAUCAAUAUUUUGGAUUAUAAAAAGAAAAAAAAUAUGAGAAAAUGAUAAACAUAUAAAACUUGUACAAGUAGAUAGAGAUGUGAUGAAAGACACUUGAUGAAUGGAGGCCUUGUAUUUCAAGAUGUAAAUAUAUGGAGCAAAACUCUUAAUUAUAUGAUCAAAUGAUUCUCUCAUAUUCAUGAACAUAAGCAGGAUUGGGGAACCAUGAUAGAAUCUUAUAUGCCUCUCCAUGUAGAUUGAUCGAUGUUUAUCUUCAUAUUUUACACCAAUGAAUGACAUUGAAACUCUGAUUGAUAAAAGGGAAAAAGCAUGGCCUCCACCACAAGAAAAACAAGUAACCUCGGUCUAAAUCACUAGUCUACACCCCGAAGAGAGAACUAGCCAAACCUACUAAAAGAGAAACUUACCAAUUUAGAAAGAAAUCUUCCAUGAUAAAGGGCCCCUAAAAGUCCAAUUCAGUCAGGUUGUGAACAAAAACACCUUCAUGUCAAAACAGGAAUAGGUACCACCAAAAUGUAAAGGGAAAGAUGUAAACCAAGUCGAACUUUGGUAAACAAUGGUAAAGAUAGCAUGAUAGCUAAAAGCACUAAAGCUGUGCUUGGUAUGCAAAAAUGAAAAGUGGAAAUCAGCGUCUUAUUCUUUUUCUCCUUUAUUCACAUAUUAGGAUAACUAAUAUCUAAUGUUUUUUUUAUGUCUCAAAUUCUAUUCCAUGUUAUGGUAAACUUUCAUCUUGUUUAAGUGGAAGAGUAGGAUCACUUUUGUCUGGUUUGGGCUCAAGACGAUAAGCCUAUAGAGACUUCAUAUUGGGUUGAAUUGAUGCCCUUGAUCCGAUCAGUUCGUUAGAAAAAUCUGAAUUAUUAUAAGCAUUUAGAUAAAAUAAAUAAAUAAAUGUGAAACAGAGACUAUUCUCUGCACAACCUUGACCCUAGUUACUCAGUUUCACUGCUCACGGGACUAACCUCUCCAUUCAGUCGAAAUGAAUUGUAAUUUCUUUACUGGUAGCAGUAGUACUUUUCAUAGCAAAGAUAAUAGUAAAUAUGAAAUAUAAAUAUAUAGAAGGAAAUCUGGAUUGUAGAUAGCACCAUAAGUAACACUCAAUAUUUACUACAUAAUAAAAGAGAUAGUGUUACAAAGGUAGAGAAACCUACAAUGAGUACUCAUCACCAUUCUCAAACAGAAACAUAGCAGUGACUUAUACAUAGAACCUAUAGGCUCGCAGGGAAAGAGUAACAUGAUAAGUGCACAGCGGGUAGCAGCUCUUAUUUUACGUAUUACUCAAAAUCUCAAACUAACCAAAGUCACUCAGUUGGGAUGGGUAGGAGAUGGUGGUUUGUGGGGUGGCUUCUGGGUAGGAGCUGGUGGCUUCUUUGUUGGAGUUGAAGGAGGCGUAAUCUUCUGAGGUGGCUUGUAUGAGUCUUUGGCACUCUCUGCAGGAGGGUGCCCAGGGUUGUGACCGGAAGGAGGUGGCUUCUGUCCCUUUGGUGGUUUGCCUAAUGGGCUUGGUGGCUUGUGCUCCGGGAGUUGUUUCUCUCCCUCGAGUAGGUUUCGAGUUUUGUCAGAUGGCUUGUGUUCUGGUGGUGGCUUCUCUCCCUGGGGUGGUUUGCCGAAUGGGCUUGGUGGCUUGUGUUCGGGGAGUGGCUUCUCUCCCUUGGCAGGUUCAGUUGGUGGCUGGUGCUCCGUAGGUGGUUUCUUCACCGCCGGCUUCUCUCCCUGGAGAAGGUUACGAGUUUUGUCAGAUGGCUUCUGUUCUGGUGGCGGCUUCUCUCCCUGGGGUGGUUUGCCAAAUGGGCUUGGUGGCUUGUGUUCGGGAACUGGCUUCUCUCCCUUGGCAGGUUCAGUUAGUGGCUGGUGUUCCGUAGGUGGUUUCUUCACCGGCGGCUUGUGCUCCGGAAGCGGCUUCUCUACCUGGAGAAGCUUACGAGUUUUGUCAGAUGGCUUGUGUUGUGGUGGUGGCUUCUCUCCCUGGGGUGGUUUGCCAAAUGGACUUGGUGGCUUGUGUUCGGGGAGUGGCUUCUCUCCAUUGGGAGGUUUAGUUGGUGGUUGGUGUUCCGUAGGUGGUUUCUGAAGUGGGGGAUGCUUGGGGUAGUCAGCAAGAGACGAGGUAGUGAGAACCACCAGUCCCAGCAGCAAUACUAGCAAGGAUGUGGAAGACAUCUUUGAGUUCAGGCUGAGAUUUGUGCAAGGCUAGAAGAAUUAGGUGGCCUUUUAUAGCGGGCUGGACCCAACAACCAAAUGACACGUAUCAUGAUACACAUAUGUGUUAUAAGAUCCUUGUGGGUCCUACAGAAGUUGAAAACUUUGACAAUUGAGGUGUGAUUACAACUUUUGUCCCUAUUGCUUUCUCGUCAGCCGUUUUGCAAGAUUUUUGACAGGAGGACGGUAGUUUAAAAUAAUAAUUUCUAAAGUACUUUUGUGAAAAAAAAUAAUUCCAAACGUGGAUUUUAUCAAGUAAAAAAAACAAAAAAAAGUUAUUUUCUUUUAAAAUCUUUUCUUCAUGAUUCAUAUACCAAAAAAAGAAUUGUUUUCUGUAGGUAAAAUUUUUAAAAUUCAUUUUUAAAAAAAAAAAAUUACACACUAAAAUUAUCUCUUCAAGAAAAUAUUUUUUAAAUUUUAAAUAAUUAUUAAUUUAUAAUUAAUUUUUUAUUAAUUAUUUAUUAAAUUUAUAUGUGAAAAAUGCAUUUAUAAAAAACAAAUUUUUUAUUAAUUUAUUAAAUAAUUAUUUACAAAAUAAAUAAUUUUGCUUUAUUUUAAUUUUAAAAUUAAUUUUAUUAUAUAAAUUUUAAAAUUAAAAAUAUUAAUAUUUAAUUUAAAAUUUAACUAUAAAAGGAAUAAAAUAUAGAAAAAUAAAUUAAUUUAUUAUUCAAUAAAUUAAUUUUCAAUAAAAUUUUCAGCAUUAAGAGAUAAAUUUUUAAGUAUUAAUCAAUUUAAAAAAUAAUAAUAAUCAUUUGUAUACUAAGAUAUUUUAUUUAGUAAUUAUGAAUGAUAAACAACUAAAGUAAUUUGAAAAAAUAAUAAAAUAUUUAAAAAUAAUAAUUUAAUACACUUAAAAUUAGAAAUGAUUAACUAUUUUUUAUUAAGAAAAAAUUGAAGAAAUAUUUUGUUAUUUAAAAUUUUUUAUUUGUUUUCAAUUUUAAAUGUUAUAGGUUUCAAGAAAAUUGAUCAAAUAAAAAUUAAGAAGUCAUUUUUUCAAAAACUAUAUAUCUAAAUAAAAGCCUUGAAAUUCAAAUACACAAUAUCAUAAAUAUAAACACCAAGUCAAUCCUUAAUUAUCAAAUGUUUUUAAUAUUAAAGAAUCAAAAUCACCUACUAUCAUGAUAAUAAGAAAACCAAUAAUAUUGUUCAUAUAAAUACUAAAAAGCUAACAAAUAUCCCAAACAAUUAAUAAAGUAUCAAACAUGAUAAAAAGUCAAUUAUUAUCAUGAAUGCAAAAAAUCAAUAAUUUUGUUUAUAUGAACCAUCAACAAAGAAAAAAAAAAUCAAUAUCUAAAUAUUAAACAUAAUUUAUAUUUUUAUAAAUAUUAUUGUUGAUAAAUAUCUUAAUAAUUAUAAUUUUUUAUAUAUUAAAUUUAGUAAAUAAAAUUAAUUAAUUUUAUAAUAUAAGAUAUAUAUAAUAAUUAAGAGACUAUUUGUCCCAAACAAUUUAUUUAUUUUUUUUUUAGGAAAUUGUCUCUUCAAGAGACGACUUCUCCCAACAUUUUUAAAAAAAAAAAAAAAAACAUCUAUUCAAAAGACGAUUUCUCCUCAUUUUUUAAAAAUGAAUUUUAGAAAUCAUAUUUUCAAAAAUGAAUUUUAGAAAUCAUAUUUUCAAAAGACGAUUUUUUUUUAUAUAAAUUAUUUUUUAAAAUGACGAUUUUAAAAGGAAAUAACGAUCUCUCUCCUACUUGGCAAAAACUAUGGUAAAUUUGGAAUUAUUUCUUCCACAACCAUAGUUUAAGAAUUAUUUUUUUAUACUUUCGUAGACUUAUCAAAAAUCCCUAUUUUGCAUGUCUCAUUUGGCAUGACUUUCUUACCUAAACAAGCAUAUAUAUAUAUAUAUAUAUAUAUAUCACUUUUGUCUGGGUUGAGUCAAUGCCCUUAACUAAUUUGUUCAUUUGAAUAGUCUAAAUUAUUAUAAGCUUUUAGUUAAGAAAAAUGUGAAACAUAAAUUACACCUCUCGGCACAACUUCGACACUGGUUACUCUGUUUCAGUUUAUUCACACAAGAUUAUUGGUUCUAGGGUUUAUUUGGUUUUGGUUUGAUUCUAAUUGCUAAACUUUCUCAAGGAAGAUGUUAUAUAGGGAGUGAGAAACCUUCACUCCUGGCUACCUCCAAGAGAAGAGCAAGUGGUCUGAAUCAAAGAUAUACUGCUCACUUUUUCUUCUUCUAAGGACAGCUAUGACCUUGCUUUAAAAUGUUCGAAUAGCCUAAUGCAACCUCCCAUUUCUCAAGUCAGCUGAUGAUGUAAGUCACCUUGGCUUUCCACAUUCAUACGGUGAGGACGUUUGUGGGUGUAAUUCUCUUAACAGUUUUCAUUUUAUAUGGAAAAAUUCAUAAUUAAGGGUAAUUACUGAUUCCAUUUGACAGUGACCAAGUUUAAAAUAUUAACUCAUGUAUUAAAUGCACAUUAAAAAAUCAUGGAAUAAAUAUAUUUACUAAUAUAUAGUUCUUUUGUCAUGUUCUGUCACAGAAGCAUCGAACUUUCCCUAGAAAUUUUUGCAUGGUAUUCUGCUUAUGAUUUUGAAAACUCUAGGCACCUAAGGCCACUGAUUGCAUGGUUGGAUGAGGAGCUGCAUGAGAUUAUGUAUCCUGUUGCUCCUUAACUACAAAUAUCAGUUUUAAGUAGCAUCUCCAUGUGACAUUUUCCUGAUGCAAUUUCGCUGUCCACCAACAAAUGUCUCCAUGCAGCUAGAUGAAUUGUAAUUUCUUUGUUGUUAUCAACAGCUUUAAUUAAUCUUGAUAUAUAUAUAACUUAGUAGAAGUAAUUAAUCUAGAUUGUAGUUGCACUAAGAUAAUAGGCAAUAUUAUAACAGUGCCACAAUGCUCAUCGCCAAAUAGAAAGGUAGAAAAACUACAAUGAGUAACUCACACAACAUUCUCAAACAGGACAUAGCGGCGACUGAUACAUAGAACACUAUUGGCACUCAGGAAAUGAUAAGAUCAGUGCCCAGCAGGCAGCACGUCUUAUUUUACAUACUACUUAAAACUAACCAAAGUCAUUCAGUUGGGAUGGGUGGGAGAUGGUGGUUUGUGCGGUGGCUUCUUUCCUGGAACUGGUGGUUUUUUUGUUGGAGUUGAAGGAGGCUUAAUCGUCUGAGGUGGCUUGUAUGAGUCUUCAGCACUCUCUGCAAGAGGGUGCCCAGGGUUGUGACCAUAAUGAGGUGGCUUCUCUCCCUUAGGUGGUUUGCCAAGUGGGCUGGCUGGCUUGUGCUCCGGGAGCGGCUUCUCUCCCUUAGGUGGUUUGCCAAAUGGGCUUGCUGGCUUGUGCUCUGGGAGCGGCUUCUCUCCCCCAAGAAGUUUGCGGGUUUUGUCAGAUGGCUUGUGUUCUGGUGGUGGCUUCUCUCCUUGGG
rnacentral:lncRNA from 1 species